AUAAGAAUAAAUAUAUUUAAAUUCAACAAAACAUGCUAGAAACAAUCAUAAUCAAUAAACGUUCUUCAAGAUUAAAUUAUGGAUUUUAUUUGCAUAAAACCAUCUAUAAAAGAAAAGUCCACUCACUCCUGGUCUGAGCUAAAUAGACCUUCUGAAGGUCCCUCCUGCAGGUCUGCCUGGUUCCGGGUGCCUGGGUCGACGAAAAUAGUGGCCGGAGGAGGGAGAUCGGCGACUGUUGAGUUCGGAUGACGUCGGCCGCUUCUUCUCCAAAUUCCGGCGAAUCCGUGGUGGCUGGCGGCGGGAGGUGGCUGGAGUUGGAAGAGGACGUCGUCCCGGUCAUUUUGGUACCGGCCCCGUCCAUAGCCGUGGCCGGUGGCCGAAGUUACAAGGUGAAGAAGCGGGAGAGGUCGCGCGAGGAGAGAGAGUGAGCUGGUUUUAUAAAAUCCCACUUCGAAAUAUUUACGGUUGUGCCACUGAGAUUCUUUUGACCAUAACUCUCUCGUUACAACUCCGAUUCGGGCCCACUACGUGUCUAUGAACUCAUUUCACUGUGCUCUACGCAACGGUGUUUGUAGCAUGGUCAAAUUCAUUUCCGGUCAAAAAGUCAACUUUUCCUUAAUAAAAUAUUCUAAGGGCAAAAUUGUCUUUUCUCAAAAUAAAUUAUUCCUUAAUUAUGAAUUUUGGGUUUGGGUUAUUACACUUGAAAUAAUAUAUAUAUAUAUAUAUAUAUAUGAGGGCAAUACACUAGCAAUAUACAAGCAAUAAAGGGCUAUACAAUGGCAAUACACAUACUUCCCUAUAAAUUUAUCCCAACACAGACUUGGAAAAAAAAAAAAUUAUACGGGAGCAAUACAAUAGCAAUACACAAGCAAUAAAAGGCUAUACAAUGACAAUACAUAAGCAAUAAAAGGCUAUACAAUGGCAAUACACAAACUCCAUACUUCCCCUAUAAAUUUAUUCCAACACAGACUUGAAAAAAAAAAAGAUAUACAGGGGCAAUACACAAGCAAUGAAAUGCUAUACAAUGGCAAUACAAAAACUUCAUAAUCCCGUUAUAAAUUUAUUCCAAUAGACUUUAAAAAAUAAAAAAAAGAUAUACGGGGGCAAUACACAAGCAAUAAAGGGCUAUACAUGUGCAAUACAUAUGCAAUACAUAUCUAUCAUGGCAUUUGCCAAUUAAAUCACUGAUUUGGUUACAUUUGUAUUUUUUUUCCUUCUUUGCAAAGGGAACGAUAAAACCAUGGAAACUAGAGAUUGACAAAUUUCCUUCUAACUUGACCUUCAUAAAUUGAUGAAUUAACAAUGUUAUCUCAUUACAUCUUAAGAUAUACAUAAGAAAGUGGCCCAAAAAAAAAAAAAUUUACAUCUCCUCAUGGUUGGGAAUUUGAACACAUUAGCAAAAUUCGACGACAUUUCCUCUUAGAACCGAAUUUAAGCUGAAAGUUAGCAAUUUCCUCCCCAAGAGAACGCUGCCACUUGAAACAAGACAAUCUUUCAUCUGUAUAAAAUGAAUCAAAAAUGCAUAUUAGAAGCAAAUCAUUCAAUCACAAUGGAAACAAAAACAUAAUAUUCAAUCACAACUGAAACCAAUUUCAAAACAGAAACCAAUUCCAAAAUUCAUAACAUAAACCAAUACUAAAACAGAUUUAGAAAGCAAUACCAGAUUCAGAAACCAAUACCAAAAAAAGUUAAUACAUAUUCACAAGCACUACAAGUAUCAUAGACAUACAUUUACAUGCACUAUAACAAAUAGAGUCGAUAAAUGUAAAACUGCAGUAUGAUAUACAUUUUUUAAUAGAAGAAAGAAAAAAAAAUUAUGAUAUACAUCAUUUAAAAGCUGAGCUUGAAGUUUGCUGAGUGAAGGACGACCUUCAAGAAUCCAAUCUUUAUAUAGAUUGUUGGCUUUUCUAAAUGACCCAAUUCUUCAUAUAGCAAACUUUCACAAGAUAGCACGAUUGCAAAAUUAAAGUUCACAUUCAUGCACACAAUUUCGUACUACUCAAUUGCAAUAUAAAAAUUAUUAUAAACAUGGGCGAAGUGAAUGUGUGUCUUGGCAGGUGAAUAAAAAUACAAAUCAGGAAAUCAUCAAUAGUUCAUUUCGCAUUGUUCAAACAGUUGAAAAAGCACAGUCUCAGAGAAGAAGAAUAGCAAGACAAUGGAACUGGAUAAAUGCAAGAGCUAUCAACAAACCUUCAAGUUUUCCAAGAACCCUUUUCAAGGCACCAACACAACCUUGGCAUGAUACCAACCUUGAGGACUAUAGACUGCACCAAAAACAGAUUCAAGAUUGAAUUACGAAAAAUAGAGAAAAUCAAGAUCCAACAUAUGCCAACUUUACAGUAUCAAACUUAUGUUAAAAUAUUAGCAUUCUCAUAAAACUUACAAACUCCACAGUCAAUUUUGGAGAUAUCCUCCACCUCAAGACAUAAUCAAUUUAUGUAGUUCAUUCAAAAAUCACAUCCCAAAACAGAACAAACAAAUUCAGAUCAUUGAACCAAGAGACCAUUGAACCAAAUAACUAUGUUUCUUCAAUGUUUUUUGUAAGAAUAAAAACCUAACUGAGUAAUCGAAUUCAAUAAGCAAAAGAAAAUCUUCAAAAUCAUUGUAGAUUGGACAAGCUUCAAGCAUAAUAUUCCUUAAGACAAACAGAGAAAUAUUUGUUGCACAAUCUCAAAAUUUUGGUUCAAAAAGUUCUUGUAUAAUCCCACUGAAAUAACAUUAUCUACACAAGCUGAAAAUAUUAAUUGUAAACAAAGAGAGUAAAAUUAUAAAUUAAACCCACAAUUAUGUUUCAACAAAUUUCUAUUUAAUCUCACCCAAAUUUGACUUGGAGGGACUUGAACUCACAUCAAGCACCAAAAAUCCAAACCCAUAUAUGUAACUGAAACAAGGAGAAGAAAACCCAAAUGUGUAGGAGAAAAGCCAAGUUGUCUACCUGAGACGCCAUCUCUAAGCAUGUAGGUUGAAAGAGGUGACAGAGAGUGAGAGAUGGAGGUGGAAAGGUUGUCGUCGCCGAUGUGGGUUAGGGUUUCUGAGGAGGUGACAGUGACUGUUGCCGAUAUGGGUGCAAGAGAGAGAGAGUGGGUUAGGGUUUCUGAGGAGGUGAUAGUUGUUAGCAUAUUCAGAACAUUAUCAUGCAUAUAGAUUCAAUCAAAACAUGUAAUAAAUCUCAAUGAAAAUGCAGAGAGCUUUUGAGUAAAGAGAGGUCAGAUUUCUGUGUGUGAGAGAGAGAGCUUGGAGAAGAAUGCUAGCUUUUAUCAGCCCAGCACCAAAACAUGUAUAUAUCAUGAAACUGACAAAAACCGUUAGGGAGGAGAUAUUCCCUAUUACAUCACUAAAUCUAGCCAUUCAAUCAUUACCCUAUAAGAUAAUGACAGGUGGCAAAAUGCUAUUACAUUCUCUGCUGUACACUUGGACUAUGAUCCAAGGCAGCCUUCCUAACAAGAAUAGAACCUUCAUAUUCUAAUUCCAUCACAGCAGCUACACCUAUACACCAACACUCCCUUCUAGGUGUUGUGCUGAAAUAACACCUAGAGCCUUCCUCAAAUACUCAAAUCUGUCUCUUGUUAAUGGCUUGGUGAAAAUGUCAGCAAGCUGCACUUCUGUUUUGCAAUAUAGCAAAUCAAUCUCACCAUUUUGUAGAGCAUCUCUUAUGAAGUGAAACCUGCGGUUGAUGUGUCUGGUUUUGUGAUGAUGAACAGGAUUCUUUGAUAUAGCAAUAGCUGAAGUGUUGUCACACAACAACUGAGUUGGUUCUACCUGUUCCUCUCCAAAAUCAGAUAACACAAACCUCAGCCACAUAGCUUGUGCAGUAGCUUCUGUUGCACUCAUGUACUCAGCCUCUGCUGUUGACAGAGCAACACUACUUUGCUUGAUUGAAGCCCAAGAAAAUGCACCUGACCCCAAGUUGAAAGCAUAGCCUGAUGUGCUCCUCAUGUCAUCUUCACUUCCACUCCAAUCACUAUCACAAUAGCCUAUUAACACUGCUCCUUUUCCCUUAUCAUAGGCAAUUCCAUAGUUUAUGGUGCCUUGAACAUAUCUCAGCACUCUCUUUGCUGUUCCCAUGUGCUUCUUGGUUGGAUUAUGCAUGAAUCUAGCCAAGAGGCUUGCUGCAAACAUGAUAUCUGGUCUGGUUGCAGUCAGAUAGAGCAAGCUCCCCACCAUUUGCCUAUACAAUGUCUCAUCUGCUAGUUCACUUCCAUCCACUUUUGACAACUUUUCAUUCACUGCCAAAGGUGUUGCAACAGACUUGCAAUCCUUAAGUCCAAAUUUGUCAAGUAAAGUCUUUGCAUACUUCUUCUGGUGAAGGAAGAUGCAAGAAUCAGUUUGUAGGACCCCAAGACCAAGGAAAUGAUGAAGUAGUCCUAGGUCAGUCAUCUCAUAUUGUCUCAUCAUAUCAUCCUUGAAUGCAGCCAUCAUUUCUUUUGAGCUUCCUGUGUAGAUAAUAUCAUCUACAUAUAGAGACACAAUGAGAAUACCACUUGUAGACAUCUUUGUGUACAAAGUAGCUUCACUUGGACUUCUAUAAAAACCAGUCUUGAUGAAAUAGGAAUUUAUCUCAUCAUACCAAGCUCUUGGAGCUUGUUUCAAACCAUAUAAAGCCUUUUUCAGCUUAUACACUUUAUCUUCACUUCCUUGCAUCACAAAACCAGAUGGUUGAUCUACAUAAACUUCUUCAUUUAGCACUCCAUUAAGAAAUGCAGACUUUACAUCUAGUUGAAACAGAUUCCAGUUUCUCUGUGCAGCAACAGCCACCAAGGUUCUCACAGUAUCAAGUCGAGCCACUGGUGCAAAGGUCUCAUUGAAGUAAAUUCCAGGCUUUUGAGAAUAUCCCUUUGCCACCAGCCGAGCCUUAUUCUUCUGCACAGAUCCAUCUAGGUUCAGUUUAGUCUUAUAGAUCCAUUUGACUCCAAUGAUUGGUUUAUCAAAUGGUCUAUUCACAAGCUCCCAUGUAUUGUUCUUCUCAAUCAUGGUGAUUUCAGCUUCCAUUGCUUUCUUCCAAGAGUCAUCCUUUGCUGCCUCUUCAAAACUUUCUGGUUCUAUAAUGCACAUGUUGCAUUUUUCAUAAAUUUCUGCAAUGCUCUUGUACUUGAGAGGAGUAUGAUCAACAUCCUGUGAUCCUGCUUCCCUUUCUUGGUCACUGGUUUCAGUGUUUAAGCUAGGCAUCUCAUUCACUUCCAAUUGUUCUUCAAAUUCAUAAGAGCUCCCUUCUGCUCCUUGUUCUUCUUCUCUGAUUUCAGUGAGCUGAAUAUUCACACUAGUCUCCUUCUUUGUAUUCCAAUCCCAACACUCAUUCUCACUAAAUAUCACAUCUCUUGAAAUGAUAACCUUUUCAGUUUCAAUAUUGUAUAGCCUGUAUCCCUUUUCACAGCUGCCAUACCCCAGAAAAAUACACCUCUUGCUUGCCAAAUCUAGCUUCUGUCUUUGCUGUUUUGGUACAUGAGCAUAACACAAUGAACCAAAUACCUUUAGAUGCUUAACUCCUGGUUUCCUCCCACCAUAAGCCUCAAAUGGUGUCUUUUUGCUCAAGGCUUUAGUUGGACAUCUAUUCAAAAUGUACACAGAUAUGUUGACUGCCUCUGCCCAGAAAUCAAAAGGAAUUUUCUUUUCCAACAGCAAACACUUGGCCAUUUCUACUAUAGUUCUAUUCUUCCUCUCUGCCACACCAUUUUGCUGUGGUGUGUAUGGGGUUGUGAGCUGCCUUUCAAUGCCUGCAUUGUCACAGAACCUCUCAAACUCCACUGAAGUGUACUCUCCUCCUCUGUCACUUCUCAAUUGUUUAAGUUUGUAACCACUUUGCAAUUCCACAGUGGCUUUGAACUUCUUAAACACACAUAGAGCUUCUGACUUGUGCCUUAAGAAAUAGACCCAACACAUCCUUGUGCAAUCGUCUAUGAAAGUGAGAAAGAACCUAUUUCCAGCUUUGGUAACUGUCUGCAUAGGACCACAGAUGUCACUGUGAACAAGUUCUAGUGGAGUUGAUGCUCUAGAGAUAGCUUCUCUUGGAAAUGCUUCUCUACUCUGCUUGCCUAGAACACAACCCUCACACACCUCUUUAACUUCUUUAAUUUCUGGCAGCCCUACUACCAUAUCUUGCUCUUUCAAUAGUUUCAGACUACUCAUAUUGAGAUGUCCAAAUCUUCUAUGCCAGAGGUCAGUGGAAUGGUCUACACCUGCUCUAUAAGCAAAGUGCAUUUCAGCCUGCAACUUCAAAGGAAAGCUUCUGUUUCCUUUCAUCUGAACCUUUGCCACCAGAUUUGUAUGAGAGCUGUCAUUGUAGAUUUCCACCUUGUGAUCACCAAAUACCAAAUAAUAGCCAUGUUCUAUCAUCUGUCCUACACUGAGUAAGUUCUCUUUCAGUCCAGGUACAAGCAUUAUUUCUUUGAUAUGUCUCUUGCCUGCUUUGGUUUCAACCACAAUAGUGCCUUUUCCAGUUACCUCUACAAGCUGUCCAGUUCCCAUUUCAACCUUGGCAGUCACCUUUCUGUCAAUAUCCACCAACAAAUCCUCUUUUCCUGUCAUGUGAUUACUACACCCACUGUCCAAAUACCAGAUCUCUUCAUCCCUUGUUACACCAGCACCACUUGCAUUGCUAGCAUAGAACAUUGUUGGUGCAGCUUCCACUUGAGUAGCAUAGUUGACCUGCUGUGGUGUUUUCUUGCUAUAGCAGUCUUUUGCAAUGUGGCCAAGCUUAUCACAGUUAUAACACUUUGGCUUGCCCUUGAAUCGACAUUCACCAAAAUGUAGCUUACCACAGUGCUUGCAGGGAGUUUUAGUGCCUUCACUUGCCUUGUUAUCCCACUUCUUGCCUUUGGAUUUCCAAUUUUUAUUCUGUUUGCUGUUCUGUUCUCCAGUCUUGGUCUGUUUGGCAUCUACACUAAGGCUAGCAAAUGCCUUCUCUGUUCUGUUUUCAGAAUGCCUAUCUAAACGCAACUCAAAGCUCUUUAGUGAGGCUACAACCUCCUGCACCUCAAUCUCAUUUAGAUCUCUAGAAUGUUCAAUGACUGAACAGAUAGAGUCAUAGGUAGAUGGCAGACUAAUAAGCAGUUUUUGAACAAUUCUCUCCCUAGGCAAUUCCUCCUCAUAACUUCUCAUUUGAUUAAUUAAAUCAAAUAGUUUAGUAACAUAGACAGUUAAGGAUUCAUCAUCCUUCAUUCUUGUAUAUUCAAAUUCCCUUCUAAGGCCUUGCAAACACUCCUUACCUGCUUAUCUCCAUGGAAUUCUUGCUGCAGAAUACUCCAGGCACCUUUUGAUGUCUCUUCAUGAGAUAUUCGUGGGAAUAUCUCCUCUGAAACUGCUCCUUGAAUCAAUCCAAGGGCCUUGGCAUCCUUCAUGAGUACCUCAGCAACCAUGCCUUUCCCACUUGAUUCUUCUGUCUCCUUUUUCUGAUCACCAGAUUCAUCUGACUUUUUCAGAUCCAUACCAUCAAGUCCUUUGAUCACAAAAUCCCACAGUCCAUGAGAUUUGAAGAUGGUCUUCAUCCUAAUGCUCCAGAAAUCGUAGUUCUCACCAUUGAAAAUUGGUGCUCUCAACUCACCACCACUUGAUCCAGCCAUGUUAGACUUAGGUCUGCAGAACUCAAGCUCAGCUGCAGCUUCAAUAGCUUAGCACAGAAAAACGCCCAGUAUUACAAGAUCAAACCUGGCUCUAAGGCCAUGUUAGCAUAUUCAGAACAUUAUCAUGCAUAUAGAUUCAAUCAAAACAUGUAAUAAAUCUCAAUGAAAAUGCAGAGAGCUUUUGAGUAAAGAGAGGUCAGAUUUCUGUGUGUGUGAGAGAGAGAGCUUGGAGAAGAAUGCUAGCUUUUAUCAGCCCAGCACCAAAACAUGUAUAUAUCAUGACACUGACAAAAACCGUUAGGGAGGAGAUAUUCCCUAUUACAUCACUAAAUCUAGCCAUUCAAUCAUUACCCUAUAAGAUAAUGACAGGUGGCAAAAUGCUAUUACAUUCUCUGAUGUACACUUGGACUAUGAUCCAAGGCAGCCUUCCUAACAAGAAUAGAACCUUCAUAUUCUAAUUCCAUCACAGCAGCUACACCUAUACACCAACAAUAGUGACUGUCGCCGAUAUGGGUGCAAGAGAGAGAGAGAGAGAGAGAGAGAGAGAGAGAGAGAGAGAGAGAAGAAAUGAGAGGAGGGCAGAGUGAGUGAGAUCGAGAAAUUAUGAAAGAGGAUUUGAGAGAAUAAACAAAAGUGAAAGAUGGGCAAUAAGCUGUCAAUAGGGAGUUUUUAUAAGGGGCAUUUAUGAUUGGGUUUCAAAAUAAGAAUAUUAGUGAAUAAAUUAGGUGAGCCAGGGGUAAAGCCGCCAAUUUCCCAAGAAAAUAAAGAAAUUAAAAGUCAAAUCUCCAAGUUGACUAACUUUUUGGCUAUUAAUGAGAAAGGAAAAUUUCCUGCCAACACUCAACCAAAUCCAAAAAGGGCUAAUUCUUGUGAAUCUUCACUCGAGCAUGUAAAGUCUGUUAUUACUCUUAGAAGUGGUAAAAUAAUUAACACACUUUCACAUAAGGAAGUUGAAAAAUCUAACAGUAAUGAUAAACUUAACAUGUCCAACUUGAAUGAAUAAAAUGAAUAUCAUUUUCCCCAAGCUUUAAAUCCUCCAAAGAAAUUGAGUCAAAAUUCUGAAAUUUUAGAUGUCUUUAAAGAGGUCAAAGUGAAUAUUCCUUUGUUAGCUGCAAUUAAACAGAUUCCAUCCUAUGCUAAAUUUUUGAAAGAUUUGUGCACGAUCAAAAGAAAGCAUCAAGUGAAGAAAAAGGCAUUUUUAACUGAACAUGUGAGUGCAUUGUUACAAUAUAAAAUUCCUCCAAAAUAUAAAGACCCUGGAAGUCCUACUCUUUCGUGUGUAAUUGGAAAUAAUUUUAUUGAUCGUGCAUUACUUGAUUUGGGCUCCAUUGUAAAUUUAUUGCCUUAUUCAGUGUACUUGCAGCUAGGUCUUGGUGAGCUUAAACCUACAAAGGUAAAAUUGCAAUUGGCUGAUCAAUCAGUAAGGACACCGCGAGGGAUUACUGAAUAUGUGUUGGUCUAAGUGGACAAAUUUUAUUAUCUUGUUGAUUUUAUUGUUUUGGACACUGCACACGUUUCAAAUUCUGAUAAUCCAGUUCCUGUGAUUUUAGGACGUCCUUUCUUGGCUACGUAUGCUAACAUUAAUUGCAGAAGUGGGGAGUCAUGAAACUUUGUUUUGGAAAUAUGACCAUGAAAGUUAAUGUUUUUAAUGUUUAUAAACAGUCAUCUGGGGAGGAAGAUGAACCUGAAUCUGUGAAUUCUAUCUCAACUUUAUCGCAUGAUCAAUUUGCGAAAAGUAGUGCUGUUUCUUGUUCAGAAAAGUUUCAAAUUAAUUCUAAUGGUUCUAAUUUAACAAGAAAUUCUCAAAUGACUGAAUUUGUUAGAUGACCAGGGUGGAAGAAAGUUGACAAAUAUUAUAGCCAGCCUUAGCAGUAGAAUAGAUGCCGUGACUUCUUUCAGCCCCUUAGAUUUACAAUUAAGACUUUCCAGCAUUACUACUUUUACGUAGAUAACACAAAUUCCUAGCAUUACUCCUCUUCACUGCCUUUAUCAAUAAAUGUCAUGCAUUUCAGUCAUCUGGAAGCUAAGUGAUGACAACAGGCCUUUUUCUCUACAACUAAUUAAGCUACACAGCACUAAUAAAAUCAAAACGAACAAGGUUAUAAAGUAUUGAACAUCAGAGCAAUAUGCAACGAACCUUUGAAAGGGUUGGUGCAAAUUGUUUCACAACAUCAUCUACAUGGUUUCAACGAUCCCCCUGCAAGAAACCAAAGCAUCACUAAUUUAUCUUCAUCAAUGUGUUUCUGUAUGCGAAUUUGAUUUCAAGAGGUGGGUAGUUAAAUGGUACCUCUGAAAGAUUAGAAGCAUCUCUAAUGAUGAUUUUUGUACCAUGUCCUCCAAGACCAAUCUUAUUGUUAUCAAAUGCGAAGCCUCACUCGCAGCCGCAUCAACAAGUAAAACGCUUUUCUUCUUCUGUGGCAUGAAUCAUUCUAAUGGCUUUAUGGGUUGUUUAUGAGCUCACAGUAUCUCUGUCUCCCACUGCAAUUCAAUCAAUCUCAAGCCUGGAGGAUGGACAGUACGGCACAGAUUGGAUUUCCUUCUUUGACACAAACUCUGAUUUACUCUCUGCGAAAGGGGUGAGGAAGAAGAGAAAGAGCUUACCGUACACUCAACUUUUUUUUGUAUUUGGUUUUUUAUUUUGGGGGUUAAUGCAUUUUAUUUUGAGAGCUUCACUAAUAUACCCAAAAUAGGGGCUGAAAUUAUAAAAAAAUCUCAUAUAGAAUGCACUUUAGAAACACACCAAAAACUCAUUUACUACAUAAGAAAUUGGUGUUUAAGUUUCUAUAAAUUAUGUAAUUGCCAUUGAUCAACUUAAAAAAAAAGUCCAACACAAAAAAUUUAAAUAGCACCCAAAACAAACCCAACCCAAUUUUAUAAAAAAACCCAAACAAUUCAUUACAAACAAAACGUUUUGAAAACCAUAGCUUCAUUAAUGUGUCAUGGUGAUUAAUGACUGUAAUAUUCCAUACAUUUACUUUUAUGUUGAUUAAUGGCUGUAAUGUUCAAGUCUAGAGUAAUGAUCAAGUCUAUGCGAAUUUGAUUUCAAGAGGUGGGUAGUUAAACGGUACCUCUGAAAGAUUAGAUGCAUCUCUUAAUUAAAAUAGUCUUUAUCAUUACUGUUGUCACUUUUUUAUCCAACCUAAGAUAUUGAUCUAGUGGUGGUAGAGUUGGCCCCGUAUUUGAACUCAAUCAAUUGGGGAAAAUAAAGAUUUCUAUAGAGGAAAGGCUACUUUUAUUCAGAAAACUCAAAAGUAUUGUCAAUCAUUGAUGUGUGCAUAGAUGGUCGAGAAAACCCUUUUCAUUGUAUAUAUGAUAUUCUUUAAACAAACUAAACAAACAGAAUCCAGAUGGUAAAAUUUGGGAAAAGUAGUGAGUCCUAACACAACACAAUUAUGAAGGUGAUCAUGGUACAAAACUCAAAGUAGUAAAAUUUCGAUGCCUUCUUUUAAGUCUUACUAGAACUUCCAUGCACCCAAUCUGAAAAAUAAAAUAUAAAAAACAUUGUAGCAUUCGAGUUUGAAGCCCCUAGGAACAUUGUAACAUAACACACUAAAUUUCUAUUUGGCAAUUGAAAUGAAAGACCACUAUAUAUUCUUUUCCCGUAUCUACUUACAUAUAUGGAUAGAGAAGAGAAGGUACAAUUACAAAAGAAGAAAUUAACUCUGCUGCAGGCCUUUGCUACUAAUUGGGUUCAAUCUUGGCCGAAACUGCGUAUCCACUACUGUAAUAAAAGGCACCAGUGCUGUCAUUCACUUCCUUUUUCGGCAAGCCAUCGUUGUAUGGAUGCUUAGGAGCUCCUUUUGAUGCUGCAAAUUCUGUGGCUGAUGAAGAUGCUGAUGUUGAGUUUGUGUUCAUGCCAUCAUUCUGCAGAAUGGUUUCAAUAGCCUUCACAAGCUCACUCAUUGUGGGGCGGUCUGCAGCUGAUUCUUCAACGCAUUGCAGGGCCAGCUCCAGGAACCUCCCAAACCCAGUAAGAGUUCCAGAGUUUCGAAUGCUUCGAUCCAUUAACUCCCUCAAACCAUAGUGUUCUUCAUCAUUCUUGUCCAUCAUCAUUUGUACCUGGCGGACGAUGUAUUUUCCCAUCUCAAUAGGCUUCCUAGCCGUAAUCAAUUCAAGCAUCACUACUCCAAAGCUGUAUACAUCACUCUUCUCAGUUAACUGUUGAGUCGUGUAGUAUUCAGGAUCAAGAUAUCCCUGCAAGAACAAAACAGAAACUUAAGAGUAAAAACUCAAGAAUGAGUCAAUGGGAUGAAAUAUGUUGAAAUGCUAAUAACGUAAAGCUUACCAUUGUGCCUUUGACCUGACUUGAGACAUGCCCUUUUCCACUGUCAGCUACCAGCUUGGACAAGCCGAAAUCUGUAACCUUCGCGGUUAAAUGUUCAUCUAAUAGAAUGUUGGCGGACUUCACAUCUCUGUGAAUUAUAGGAGGAUUUGCAAGCUCAUGUAGGUAAGCUAGUCCUCUUGCCGAGCCAAGAGUGAUGCGGAGUCUCCUCUGCCAAUCAAGAUGAAUACCAGAUCUCCCUGCAAUUCAUAUUUAAGCAAAGGUGAACUUGGUCACUAUGUCUAUUGCAAACAAGCUAUCUCUAUGCAAUAUGAAAUAGCUGAGAGUAAAAUCUUUGAACUAACCUGACAAGCUUUCCCUGAGUGUUCCAUUCGGAAUAAACUCAUAUACCAGCACCUGUUCUCCUUGUUCAAAACAAAAUCCCAAAAGGCCAACAACAUUUUUGUGAUGAACUCGCGAGAGCAACUCGAUUUCAGUCUUGAACUCAAGGCCACCCUGCAUUGAUCCUUGCUGAGCUCUUUUGAUUGCCACCACUUGUCCAUCAGAAAGCAUGCCCCUGUAAACCUAUGGACAACCAACCAAAAGGUGAAGAAAAAAAACAUCCUUUAACUUGAAGCAGAAUUUCAUAGAUGUUACUGAAAUACUUGAAUUAAUAUACCUUCCCGUAUCCACCAGAUCCUAUCUCAUUACUGUCAGAGAAAUUAUUUGUGCAUUUCUUAAGCUCAUCAAAAGAAAAACAUCUUGCUCCCUUUAACUGUGGUGCUCCACCACUGUCUUUUCCGCUUGGUGCCCAAGAAGCUAGAAGAUAGAGAAAAGGAGUGAUACAAGCAAACCAACUUCUAAUGUCAAUGACAGAAUUUCAAUGUAUCCAAUCAUAAACAACAAGAAUAAUUAAUUACCAAAAGGUCGGCUUAAUCCAAUGGCUCUUUCUGCACGUUUCUUUUGCCUAAUGGCAUAUAUUCCCACUACCACGAGGCCCAGUACAAGAGCUACACAACUAACUGAUGUCCCAAUAAUAACACCAGUGCUCAUAGAACUUUUAUUCCCACCUGAAACAAUUUUGAGUUUUUAUUGUCAGUUUAAUCAAUCUUCUAAUGCAGGGAAAUGGCAUACGAAGUAACGAUGCGAUUUGAAUUACCCGGGAAAGUAUAAGGAUAUGGAAUAAAAUAAUAGGGUCCAAACCCCUCCGGUGGCUUUUGAUUUUGGUAGUUCAAAUCUAAACCAAUCCUCAUAAUCUCUGACCUAUUAAAAUACAUUCCUGUAGGUGGAAAGAGUGCCAGCUGAAUUUGAAGAUAGUCAUGAUUGUCGAAGAAAGGGUUUUCAAGAGAAACUGAACCAGGAAUGAGGCCAAGUAUUUCCCAUAGAAUCGUUUCUAGUGCGUGAAACAUAGUCACAUUUGGCAAUUCCCUGAAAGGGGGUGCUCUGAAAUACAAUGUUCCUUUGAAAGGAUAUGCACAUUGACAACUCUGAGGGCUGGGCUUCUGAUUAUCGGGGCAUGUAAUGCGUGCACAAUUCGAGCUAGUAGUAUACGUUUCUGUAUCUUGUUGCGGAAGCUGACAGAAUUUAGUGACGGCAGUUCCACUGGUGCAAAAUGGGUUCUCUACAAGUCUGCAACAUGUAAAAGUGACAACUAAGAAUGGUGUUGAAAAACACACAACCUUAGAAAAUCAAGAUCAAGGCCCAUGAACUGUCUCACAUUAAUGUAUGUUUGUAUUUAUAACCCAGAGUUAUUUUAGGAAUCUGAUUGUGCUGCAGAUCAACAAGCUGCAGUUGUGGACUGAUGCUAUCACCCAAGUUCAAUGUAUCGUUAAACGCAUUGUUUUUCAGUUUCCUGUCAAGGGUUAGAAAAAAAACAUGAAGGGCAAGUUUCCUAAAGUUACAGUCAAAACUUGAUGCUUUCUUCGGUAUUCUCCUUAAACUUACACUUGCUGCAAUGUUUUGAUGCCGAACAUCUUCUCUGGCACAGUCCCUUCAAGUGCUCCAAAUUCUAAAACGCUGUGUUCCAUAAAAGUAGAGAAUUUCAACAAAAAAUUACAACAAAGUUUUCAGGGUGUACUUUUCCAAGACUCAUUCAUAGAUACUAAGACAUUUUUGUGUAACCUCCUAAGGACUUACAUAGUGGUGAUUGAGGGUAAGUUCGAGAACCAAAGUGGAGCUUCUGAUGGGUCAAAUGAGUUGUUACUCAGGUCUCUGAAGUAAAAUCAUUAGGAUUUAUCAGUACAACAAAAGAACAACUUGCAGGAAACUUGAAACUUGAAAUGACAGCUCCAUGCCAUCUUACUCACACAGUAUGGAGGGACCUCAUUCCAGUUAAGUCAGGUAAAGGGCCUGUCAAUUUGUUGUGAGCCAAAUUUCUGGAAGAGAACAAAAACUCAUGUAAAAGAUGAUUAAGAAUAAUUAAGGUAACUGUUAACAGCACAUUAGAAUAUCCUCUUAGAGACUUGAUACUCACAGUUCAUUGACAUGUGUUAGGUUGCUGAUAUUUGAGGGGACAUUUCCUGUCAGAGCAUUUCUAUCAAGCCGACUGUUGCAAACAAGAAGGUUUUGAAUCCAAUAAGUAUCAAGAAGCAGAUACUUAUAUGUGAAAGAAUAACAAAAUGGAGCUGUUUUUGUACUCACAGAACCUCAAGAGUCUGAACGAGUGCUAUGGUUGAUGGAAUCUCCCGAAUAAAUUGAUUUCCAUCAAACAAACUGCAGUUGAAGAAUGACAUGCAGUUAGAUAAAUAUAAGUACAGAACAUAAACUGAUAGAUGGCAUCUGGCUAAAUUAAAAAAAUGAUCGAAGGGAUCAACUUACAUGUGUAUCAGUUUCAUCUUAGAGCUGAAAAGUUUGGGAUGAAUGGUACCUGAAAGGUUGUUCUUGCUGAAAUGGCUGCAUGUCCAUAUUAUCAGUUUAAUGUUUAUGCAAUAAGCAAUGGCAUAAUCCCUAUUAGAAUUUCAUCUUUUCACAAUGGAGAGAGUUUGGGAAAUGGAAAAAUACUCACAAGUGUUCAGCCUUCAAUAAAUUGUCUAAGCCUGAGGUAAGGGGGGUUGAAAUUGGUAGAGUUCCAGUCAACUGAUUGUCUACCAGGUCCAACCAGUUAAGUUUGGAGAGUUUACCCAAAGAAGGAGGUAUUUGACCAGUAAAUUUAUUCGUAUUCAGAGCCCUGAAAAGAACAAAAGAUUUAUAUAAAGUUGGGAAAGAAAAAACUUAAAAUGGUUUGCACUAACAGUAUGAUUAUCAAUUCAAUUCUUACAAGAAAGUUAGCUCUCCAAGAUUGCCCAAUUCCUCUGGAAUAUUGCCACUGAAGCCGCAGCCCGCUAGGAUCCUAAAAGAUGAAAAGAGUCCUGUAUACUUAUCCAAUAUACAAACUUAUAUUGCACAUACAAAGUUCAAAAGGUGCAAAUGUGAAAAUUGCUUGCUAAUUUGUUCUUACAGGAUAUUUAACUUGCUCAGAUCUCCUAAUCGUGGAGACAGAGAACCCGUGAGGCCUUUGUUGAAUGAAAGGUCCCUGCAAUGUUAACGUUUCCACUUCGUUACAGAAGGAUGCCAUGCUAAUCGAAGAUUGAGUGAUAACAAAAUAAUUGAUACUGCAAAAGAAAUAUGUUUUAUGCAUUUGUAUACAUACUGAAUCUGUUGCAUUGCAUCUGUGUUCAAUUCAUAAUGUGCUGCAAACAUAAUGCUGGUACAAAGAGGAGCAAUUAUACUCACAAGGAUCUUAAUUCAGAGAGUCCCCCGAUAUCGCCUUCAAUUUGUCCUUUCAAGUCCAUUGCUGAUAAUCCCCUGCACAUAAAAAAGUGCAAGGUUGAAAAUUUGUGUAAGAAAGUAGUUCACCAAUGCCCAGAACUAUAAGGAUCACAUGAAAAUUCAAAGAUGAACAAUGCUCACAAUGCGGUCACCCUCGAAUUGUUGCAGGUGACUCCUUCCCAGUUCAUUCCACAGGGAUCAUUUGACUUGUCGUUCCAGCUGGGUGGAAGAUUCGUCCAUGCCCCCUUCAAGGAUAUGAAAACAGCAGCUGGACCAACAGACUUACAAAUCAAUCUACUACCUUAACACAAAGUUUGUACACACAUAUGUGCAGGAUGUUCAACUUACAAUCAAAAUUUAGCUAAAACAUUAAGAAAAGCUUGCAUUAAACACAAUCUAAAUGGACUAAUGACCAAGUUUGCAUGCAAAAACAUGAGAAACAGGAGGAUCAACAUGAUAUUGUUUGUUACACAUAUCUAGGCCAAAGCUCAAACUACCAAAACCCCAAUUUCCCAUUAACUAGGAAAUCUUGUUUGUUACACACGACUGUCUUGACAUGGACUAUGUUUAGGGACUGUAUUGGCUUGGCUUGGCUUGGUCUAAGUUGGAUAACACUUAUCCUGCAUUUGGUGUAUGCUUGGACUAGGACUAGAUUUUUUUAUUUUUUCAAAUAUAUAUAUAUAUAUGUAUGUAUAUAUGUAUUUUAUAAUAUAUAAUAUAUAUAUAUAUCUAUAUAUAUGUAUAUAUGUAUUUUACAGUCCCGAUGUCUUGGACUACAGGGGUCCAAGAGAUUUGUGGUCAUGGAUGUAAAUUCAAUGGUUCACUCACUCUUGCACUCCUUUUAAGAAACUUUUUUGAACCAUUGGAUUAAUAUCCAACGGUGGGUGACCACAAUCUCUUGAACUCCUGUGGUCCAAGAGAUCAGGACUGUAUAAUAUAUAUGUAUAUAUACAUACAUAUAAUAUAUAUAUACAUGUAUAUAUGUAUGUUAUAAUAAUAUUAUAUAUAUAUAUAUGUAUGUGUAUAUAGGUGAAUAUAUGUAUAUUAUAAUAUACAUAGAUAUAAUACAUACAGUCCCUUUCUAUUGAGGGAUCCCUCAAAUAAAAUUAUUUGAGGGACGCCCUUUAGGGUACCCUACAAUUUUUUUCCCAAUGAUCCAAACCAUCUAUUUUUUAGAUCUUCAUUCAUAGAUCAUCCUAAUAAAAAAUUAGACAAAUCGGAAACCGUUUCGACAUCCAAUUGUGUCUUACAAAAUCAAUGAACACUGUGCUUCAAGAAAAUGCUAAAAUUUCAAUAACUUAAUUGAGUGGUCAAAUGAUAUCGGAUUCAAGUGAUUUUUUGUAGGGAUGAUCUUUGAAUGAGUAUCUACAAAAUAGACGGUUUGGAUUAGUGAAAUACAAUCCGGAGUGAGGCCUACAAGGGGUGUCCCUCAAAUAAGCUUAUUUGAGGGAUCCCUCAAUGGAAGCUCUCUGAUAAUACAUAUAUUUAUAUAUAUAUAUGUAUGUAUAUUAUAAUAUAAUAUAUAUAUAUAUGGGUAUGUAAUAAUAAUAAUAAUAUACAUAUAUAUACUUGUAUAUAUGUAUGUAUAUAUACAUAUAUAUAUAUACAAUCCCGAUCUCUUGGACUACAGGGGUCCAAGAGAUUUGUGAUCACUCACCGUUUGAUGUAAAUUCAACGGUUCAUUCACUCUUGCACUCCUUUUAAGAAACUUUUUUGAACUGUUGGAUGUUAAAUCCAACGGUAGGUGACCACAGUCUCUUGGACCCUUUGUGGUCCAAGAAAUCGGGUAUGUAGAUAUAUAUUAUAUAUAUUAUAAAAUACAUAUAUAUAAUAUAUAAUAUAUGUAUAAUAUAUGUGUAUAUAGGUGUAUCUAUAUAUUAUAAUAUAUACAUGGGUAUAAUACAUAUACAUAUAUAUAUAUAUAUUAUAAUAGAUAAUAUAUAUGGGUAUGUUAUAAUAAUAAUAUACAUGUAUAUACAUGUAUAUAUAUUAUAAUAUAUACAUAUCGGAUAAAUAUAUAAUGUAUAUGUGUAUAUGCAUAUUCUAAUACAUACAUGGGUAUAAUAUAUAUACAUAUAUAUAUAUAUACCCCUUCUAUUGAGGGAUCCCUCAAAUAUUUGAGGGACGCCCUUUAGGGUACCCUAUAAAUUUUUUUUCAACGAUCCAAACAAUCUAUUUUUUAGGUCUUCAUUCAUAGAUCAUCCUUACAAAAAAUUAGACAAAUCGGAAACCGUUUCGAUAUCUAAUUGUGUCCUACAAAAUCAAUGAACACGGUGCUUCAAGAAAGUACUAAAAUUUCAAGAACUCAAUUGAAUGAUCAAAUGAUAUCGGAUUCAAAUGAUUUUUUGUAGAGAUGAUCUUUGAAUGAGUAUCUACAAAGUAGUAGUCCCCUCCUAAGGAGGUGUUUUUGGUGGGCCCGGUAUUAGCAAUCUUAUCUAAGACUAUAAUUAAAUGAAACAAACAUGAUACUAAAUUUAGUCUAAGCCAAGCCUGUAUACCAAACAACCCCUAAAUGGACAAAUAAACAUUGAUAUCUGAGACCAUACCAUCACUGGAGUUUGUUUCAGAAAAGAUGACAUGAAUCUCAGCAGAGCAGAAAGCCAGAAAGAGCAGGAACCGCAUGGUUGCCAUGGUGGUGAAGGAGCAAGCAAAUCAAGAAAACUGGUGUGUCUGUGAGGCUGAUCAGCUAGUAAGCAGAGGUCAAAAAAAGCACAUUUCUAUUUACCCCUGAUGGUCAAAAAAGCACUUCGCAAAGACUUCCCUCCACGCAGACACACCCUUCAAUUCAAUUCCUUCCACUCUACCAACUACACCACUUGAAGAUUUUUAUUUAAUGAGUCCUUGACAGCAUGCAUGCAUGUAUGUACGUGCGCAUGUACAAGUUCCGACCAAUUCAGAGCAAGUUUUGCUUUGAAAGUUUUGCGGAUGUACAAACAUAGUUAAGCAGAAACAACUCUCUCAUGAGCAAAGCUAGCAUCUUUCGAAUGGGAACAAAGCUACACAAUUCUGAAUGUACGCCUAAAGUCUCCACUUGCAUUGAUAUAAGAGAGAAUUCAACUAAGUCAUUCAAUGGGUACAUUUGGCUUUAGGCGAAAAUGGGUCCCAGAAGCUGACAUGAAAAUCAAGGCUCUCGGGGGUGCCCGGGACGUAUUCAUGGUUUGAUCCACUUUCAUGUUGAAUGGAUGAAAAGGUUUUCAUUUUCGUAAGAAAUGGAUCAAGACAAGAUGAUCGUUUUCACAAAACAAAAAUCUAAUUCAAACAGUCAAUUUCUAUGGUGCGAAGGGUCAAAGGUUAUUCUACAAAAGAUAAAAGUAUAUUUUUUGUGCCAAGGGGUCAAAGGUUAAUAAACAAACUAGCCACAAAUUGCCGUCUAGCCAUACCAAUAAGAACCUCAAUUGAAGUUUUACCAAUUUCAUAAAAAAUAUGAGCUACAUGAAUCAAAGACUUAAUAUCCGGCAACUCAAUUGAUUAAGAGCAUUUAAAUUUAAACCCGAGAUUUUGUGUUAGAUUCUCCUCUUUCCAGAGGACACAUUGGGACAAAUUCUACUUCAGUUUGGAUGGAAAAGAAUCCUUUGUGUCCCAAAGCAAACGUAGCCUGGCCUACAUCUGGCACACCUAAAAUUAUAGUAGCAAAACCAACCAUGAACAAUAAUUAUGAUAUCUUACAGCUUCUCCUAUUCCAGUUUCUGAAUUCAGUAUCCUUCCUUUCCUAGUGCCUUCAAUAGUGAGUUUGACCUAAUUACCUUUGAGAGGGCAAUCCCAAAGCUAAUAGAAUGUUAUGAAUCCUAUGAAACAAUUCAAUUGGGUAUCUCCUUAAAGUUGUAUCGAGGCAUUUUCAGAUAACAUCCAUACAACAUGAAAGGCCGAAGAUGACAUGUUUAAAAAAAUAUAUAUUAAAAAAUAAAAGAUUAAUGGAUUUAAUGUGGCUGUCGCUACUGUUGGAGUUAUGACUAUACAAUAAUACAAUGCCACGUAUGACAGGACAUAUUUGUCUGUAGGUUGGCUUCAUUCAUGGCGUCGAAGACGAAAGACAGAGACUAAUACAAUGCCAUGUAUGAUCGGGACAUAUUUGUAUGUGCGUUGAAGACGAAAGAAAGACUAGCGGAGUGAAGGGGUAAGAUUUUUUGUCAAAUGAUCAAAACCACACAAUCUCAAUUAAUUAUAGUUAGUCAGUUGGGCUGAGGCGUUUGCAUGCGGAACUUUCAAAAGCACGAGUUCAUGACAUUGGCUUGUUUGAUAGAAGAAGCUUCACCAAUUAAAAUCUGAUCACAUGUAAACAAAGAACAAAUGGGAUAUCAAGGAGAAAGAACAAAUCUAAUCACCAAUUAAGUUACACCUUGAGGCCCAACACUUUGUGGAAUAAAGAAGGGUUUUGAAGCCUAUUAAGGGGUCCUAUUUGUUUCCUUUUAUGCGUGAACCGAUUUGGUGGGCUUGGAAGAUAAGUCAAGUCGGCCCUUGGUAAUGAGUAGAGACGACUUGACCUAGCCCUAUAUAACCUUAAGGUCAUGCUCUCAUCAGACAUGUUCUCUAACCUAUUCUCAUCAUAAAGAGAGAGCUGAAACUAGUGGCGAAGCCAGAAUUUCAUGUGUGUGAGGGCAUCUUACAAAUUAUAAAGAAUCAAAAAUUCAAACUCACAAUACAUUUGAAAAAUAGUGUAUAUAUACAUUGUAAACUUAAGUAAAUGGAGUAAUAUAUUAAAGUAAAAGGGCAAAGACAUUCACUUAAGUGUUGAAAAUGGAAAUAAGGUAAUCUGUACACCUGGAGUGCACCGCCACCAGCUGAGCAAGGGGGCAAUUUGAAGUACCUCCUUGUACCCACUGGCGGACCUAGAAAUUUUUUAGCGGAGGUGCAAUAUUGACUAAGUAUGAAAAAUGGUUUUUUGGAAUAAUCAUUUUUUCAAGAUAAUUUUUGACGGCUUUUAUUCCUUAUACAUCAAAUAAGAAAACUUGAUUUUAUGGGAUUUUAGUAUGAAAUAUAUAUUAACUUAAUGAGCCACCAGCUGAGCAAAUGGGCAAUUUGAAGUACCUUAAUAGAUCCGCCACAAUACAUAAGGGUACAUAUCAAAAUGUAAAGUAUUUUAAAUAAUAUACAUAUAGAAAUACAUAACAGUAUAUUAUCUUUAAAAUAUAAAAAAAAAAAUGAGUAGGGGCCCGGGACCACAUUGGUCCCAGUGUCGCUCUGCCCCUGGCUGAAACAGAUUCUAAGAGAGAGCAGAACUCUUGAGCCGUUCCUGUUCUUGCUAGGAUUGUUGUUGCUACAGAUUGGAUGAGUUAAGAGGUUGUGUACUCUAGGAAGAUGGCUCCAGGUAUGUCUUCGUGUCUCUACGUAUUUCAGAUUGUGUGAAAGAUCUUGAAUAUCUAUAAUAUAGAAAUCUAAUAGUUGAUAUCAGAGCACAUGGUUAUUCACACACACUGAAAUCGUUGUUCAAGCAUGCCUACUCUUACUGUUUCUGUAUGCGAAUUUGUUUUUGUAUGCGAAUAGAUGCCGUGACAAAUAUCAUUACUGUUAUCACUUUUUGAUUUCAAUAUUGAUCUAGUGGUGGUAGAGUUGGCCCCGUAUUUGAACUGAAUCAAUUGAGGAAAUUGAAGAUUUCUAUAAAGGAAAGGCUACUUUUAUUCAGAAAACUCGAAAGGAUUGUCAACCAUUGAUGUGUGCAUGAAUGGUCGAGAAAACCCUUUUCAUUGUAUAUAUGAUAUUCUUUAAACAAACUAAACAAACAGAAUCCAGAUGGUAAAACUUGGGAAAAGCAGUGAGUCCUAACACAACACAAUUCUGAAGGUGAUCAUGGUACAAAACUCAAAGUAGUAAAAUUUCGAUGCCUUCUUUUAGGUCUUACUAGAACUUCCUUGCACCCAAUCCAAAAAAUAAAAUUAAAAAUAAGAAAAACUUUGUAGCAUUCGAGUUUGAAGCCCAUAGGAACAUUGUAACAUAACACACUAAAUUUCUAUUUGGCAAUUGAAAUGACAGACCACUAUAUAUUCUUUUCCUGUAUCUACUUACAUAUAUGGAUAGAGAAGAGAAGGUACAAUUACAAAAGAAGAAAUUAACUCUGCUGCAGGCCUUUGCUACUACUUGGGUUCAAUCUUCGCCGAAACUGCGUAUCCACCACUGUAAUCAAAGGCACCAGUGCUGUCAUUCACUUCCUUUUUCGGCAAGCCAUCGUUGUAUGGAUGCUUAGGAGCUCCUUUUGAUGCUGCAAAUUCUGUGGCUGAUGAAGAUGCGGAUGUUGAGUUUGUGUUCAUGCCAUCAUUCUGCAGAAUGGUUUCAAUAGCCUUCACAAGCUCACUCAUUGUGGGGCGGUCUGCAGCUGAUUCUUCAACGCAUUGCAGGGCCAGCUCCAGGAAUCUCCCAAACCCAAUAAGGGUUCCAGAGUUUCGAAUGCUUCGAUCCAUUAACUCCCUCAAACCAUAGUGUUCUUCAUCAUUCUUGUCCAUCAUCAAUCGUACCUCACGGACGAUGUAUUUUCCCUUCUCAAUAGGCUGCCUAGCCGUUAUCAAUUCAAGCAUCACCACUCCAAAGCUGUAUACAUCACUCUUCUCAGUUAACUGUUGAGUCAUGUAGUAUUCAGGAUCAAGAUAUCCCUGCAAGAACAAAUAGAAACUUAAAGAGUAAAAACUCAAGAGUGUGUCAAUGGGAUGAAUAUAUGUUGAAAUGCUAAUAACGUAAAGCUUACCAGUGUGCCUUUGACCUGAGUUGAGACAUGCCCUUUUCCACCGUCAGCUACCAGCUUGGACAAGCCAAAAUCUGCAACCUUGGCGGUUAAAUGUUCGUCUAAUAGAAUGUUGGUGGACUUGACAUCUCUGUGAAUUAUAGGAGGAUUUGCAAGCUCAUGUAGGUAAGCUAGUCCUCUUGCCGAGCCAAGAGUGAUGCGGAGUCUCCUCUUCCAAUCAAGAUGAAUACCAGAUCUCCCUGCAAUUCAUAUUUAAGCAAAGGUGAAGUUGGUAACUAUGUCUAUUGCAAACAAGUUAUCUCUAUGCAAUAUGAAAUAGCUGAGAGUAAAAUCUUUGAACUAACCUGACAAGCUUUCCCUGAGUGUUCCAUUAGGCAUAAACUCAUAAACCAGCAUCUGUUCUCCUUGUUCAAAACAAAAUCCCAAAAGGCCAACAACAUUUUUGUGAUGAACUCGCGAGAGCAACUCGAUUUCAGUCUUGAACUCAAGGCCACCCUGCAUUGAUCCUUGCUGAGCUCUUUUGAUGGCCACCACUUGUCCAUCAGAAAUCAUUCCCCUGUAAACCUAUGGACAACCAACCAAAAGGUUUUUAAAAAAAAAAAAAACAUCCUUUACCUUGAAGCAGAAUUUCAUAGAUGUUACUGAAAUACUUGAAUUAAUAUACCUUCCCAUAUCCGCCAGAUCCUAUCUCAUUACUGUCAGAGAAAUUAUUUGUGCACUUCUUAAGUUCAUCAUAAGAAAACCAUCUUGCUCCCUUUAACUGUGGUGCACCACCACUAUCUUUUCCGCUUGGUGCCCAAGAAGCUAGAAGAUAGAGGAGUGAUAUAAGCAAACCAACUUCUAAUGUCAAUGACAGAAUUUCAAUGUACCCAAUCAUAAACAACAAGAAUAAUUAAUUACCAAAAGGUCGGCUUAAUCCAAUGGCUCUUUCUGCACGUUUCUUUUGCCUGAUGGCAUAUAUUCCUACUACCACGAGGCCCAUUACAAGAACUACGCAACUAACUGAUAUCCCAAUAAUAACACCAGUGCCCAUAGAACUCUUAUUCCCACCUGAAACAAUUUUGGGUUUUUAUUGUCAGUUUAAUCAAUCUUCUAAUGCAGGGAAAUGGCAUGCGAAGUAACAAUGUGAUUUAAAUUACCUGGGAAAGUAUAAGGAGCUGGAAUAAAAUAAUAGGGUCCAAACUCCUCCGGUGGCUUGUAAGUUUGGUUGCUCAAAUCAAAACCAAUCCUUAUAAUCUCUGACCUAUUAAAAUAUAUUCCUGUAGGUGGAAAGAGUGCCAGAUGAAUUUGAAGAUAGUCAUUAAUGUCAAAGAAAGGGUUUUCAAGAGAAACGGAACCAGGAGUGAGGCCAAGUUUAUCCCAUAGACUCAUUUCUAGUGAGUGAAACGUAUUCACAUUUGACAAUUCCCUGAAAGAGGGUGCUCUGAAAUACAAUGUUCCUUCAAAAGGAUAUGCACAUUGACAACUCUGAGGGCUGAGCUUCUGAUUAUCGGGGCAUGUAAUGCGUGCACAAUUUGAGCUAGUAGUAUACGUUUCUGUAUCUUGUUGCGGAAGCUGACAGAAUGAAUUUGAGCUAGUUCCAUUGGUGCAAACUGGGUUCCCUACAAGUCUGCAAUAUUUAAAAAUGACAACUAAGAAUGGUGUUGAAAAAUAUACAACCAUAGAAAAUCAAGAUCAAGGCCCAUGAACUGUCUCACAUUAAUGUAUGUUUGUAUUCAUAACCCAGAGUUAUUUUAGGAAUCUGAUUGUUCUGCAGAUCAACAAGCUGCAGUUGUGGACUGAUGCUAUCACCCAAGUUCAAUGUAUCGUUAAACGCAUUGUUUUUCAGUUUCCUGUCAAGGGUUAGAAAAAAACAUGAAUGGCAAGUUUCCUAAAAUUACAGUCAAAACUUGAUGCUUUCUUCAGUAUUCUCCUUAAACUUACACUUGCUGCAAUGAUGCGAUGCCGAACAUCUUUUCUGGCACAGUCCCUUCAAGUGCUCCAAAUUCUAAAACGCUGUGUUCCAUAAAAGUAGAGAAUUUCAACAAAAAAUUACAACAAAUUUUCAGGGUGUCCUUUUCCAAGACUCAUUCAUAGAUACUAAGACAUUUUUGUGUAACCUCCUAAGGACUUACAUAGUGGUGAUUGAGGGUAAGUUCGAGAACCAAAGUGGAGCUUCUGAUGGGUCAAAUGAGUUGUUACUCAGGUCUCUGAAGUAAAAUCAUUAGGAUUUAUCAGUACAACAAAACAACAACUUGCAGGAAACUUGAAACUUGAAAUGACAGCUCCAUGCCACUACUCACACAUAAUUGAGGGAAAUCAUUCCAGUUAAGUCCGGUAGAGGGCCUGACAAAUUGUUGUGGGCCAAAUUUCUGGAAGAUAACAAAAACUCAUUUGAAAGAUGAUUAAGAAUAAUUAAGAUUAAGGUAACUGUUAACAGCACAUUAGAGUAUCCUCUUAGAGACUUGAUACUCACAGUUCAUUGACAUUUGUUAGGUUGCUGAUAUUUGAGGGGACAUUUCCUGUCAGAUCAUUUCUAUCAAGCCGACUGUUGCAAACAAGAAGGUUUUGAAUCCAAUAAGUGUGAAGAAGCAGAUACUUAUAUGUGAAAGAAUAACAAAAUGGAGCUGUUUUUGUACUCACAGAACCUCAAGAGUCUGAACGAGUGCUAUGGUUGAUGGAAUAUCCCCAGUAAAUUGAUUAUCAUCAAACAAACUGCAGUUGAAGAAUGACAAGCAGUUAGAUAAAUAAUAGUAUAGAACAUAAACUGAUAGAUGGCAUCUGGCCAACUUAAAAAAUGAUUGAUGGGAUCAACUUACAUGUGUAUCAGUAUCAUCUCAGAGCUGAAAAGUCUGGGUGGAAUGGUACCUGAAAGCUGGUUCUUGUUGAAAUGGCUGCAUGUCCAUAUUAUCAGUUUAAUGUUUAUGCAAUAAUCCCUAUUAGAAUUUCAUUUUUUCACAAUGGAGAGAGUUUGGGAAAUGGAAAAAAUACUUACAAAUGUUUAGCCUUCAAUAGUUUGUCUAAGCCCGAGGUAACGGGGGUUGAAAUUGGUAGAGUUCCAGUCAACUGAUUGUCUGCCAGGUCCAACCAGAAAAGUUUGGAGAGUUUACCCAAAGAAGGAGGUAUUUUACCAGUAAAGUUAUUCGUAUUCAGAGCCCUGAAAAGAACAAAAGAUUUAUAUAAAGUUGGGAAAGAAAAAACUUAAAAUGGUUUGCACUAACAGUAUGAUUAUCAAUUCAAUUCUUACAAGAAAGUUAGCUCUCCAAGAUUGCCCAAUUCAUCUGGAAUAUUGCCACUGAAGCCGCAGCCAGCUAGGAUCCUAAAAGAUGAAAAGAGUCUUGUAUACUUAUCCAAUAUAAAAUCUUAUAUUGCAUAUACAAAGUUCAAACGGUGCAAAUAUGAAAAUUGCUUCUCAAUUUGUUCUUACAGGAUAUUUAACUUGCUCAGAUCUCCUAAUCGUGGAGACAGAGAACCCGUGAGGCCUUUGUUGAAUGAAAGGUCCCUGCAAUGUUAACGUUUCUACUUCGUUACAAAAAGGAUGCCAUGCUAAUCAAAGAUUGAGUGAUAACAAAAUAAUUGAUGCUGCAAAAGAAAUAUGUUUUAUGCAUAUGUUUACAUACUGAAUCUGUUGCAUUGCAUCUGGGUUCAAUUCAUAAUGUGCUGCAAACAUAAUGCUGGUACAAAGAGGAGCAAUUAUACUCACAAGGAUCUUAAUUCAGAGAGUCCCCCGAUAUCGCCUUCAAUAUGUCCUUUCAAGUCCAUUGCUGAUAAUCCCCUGCACAUAAAAAAGUGCAAGGUUGAAAAUUUGUGUAAGAAAGUAAGUCACCAAUGCCCAGAACUACAAGGAUCCCAUGAAAAUUCAAAGAUGAACAAUGCUCACAAUGCGGUCACCCUCGAAUUGUUGCAGGUGACUCCUUCCCAGCUCAUUCCACAGGGAUCAUUUGACUUCCAGCUGGGUGGAAGAUUCGUCCAUGCCCCCUUCAAGGAUAUGAAAACAGCAGCUGGACCAACAGACUUACAAAUCAAUCUACUACCUUAACACAAAGUUUGUACACACCUAUGUGCAGGAUAUUCAACUUACAAUCAAAAUUUAGCAAAAACAUUAAGAAAAGCUUGCAUUAAACACCAACUAAAAUGACUAAUUACCAAGUUUGCAUGCAAAAACAUGAGAAACAGGAGGAUCAACAUGAUAUUGCAAAGUCUUUCCUAAGUCAACGCAUAUCCAGGCCAAAGCUCAAACUACCAAAACCCCAAUUUCCCAUUAACUAGGAAAUCAAUAAUGGACAAAUAAACAUUUAGAUUUGAGACCAUACCAUCACCGGGGUCUGUUUCAGAAAAGAUCAUAUGAAUCCCAGCAGAGCAGAAAGCCAGAAAGAGCAGCAACCGCAUGGUUGCCAUGGUGGUGAAGGAGCAAGCAAAUCAAGAAAACUGGUGCCUCUGCGAGGCUGAUCAGCUAGUAAGCAGAGGUCAAAAAAAGCACAUUUCUAUUUACCCCAGAUGGUCAAAAAAGCACUUCCAAAGACUACCCUCCACACAGACACACCCUUCAAUUCAAUUCCUUCCACUCUACCAACUACACCACUUUAAGAUUUUUAUUUAAUGAGUCCUUGACAGCAUGCAUGCAUGUAUGUACAUGCGCAUGUACAUGUUCCCACCAAUUCAGAACAAGUUUUGCUUUGAAAGCUUGAUUUGGUGAGUCGGGUUUUUUCAACUGUCUUCAAAAAAUACUUGCAGGCACACAGAGAGAGAUAGAGAGAUAGAGAGAGAGAACAGAAAAAGAUUUGGGUUGGCCCCUUUGAGCUUCUUUUAAAUGAUUAAGCCUUGUCUUAGAAGCCAACCUUUGGCCUUAACAAUAAGCACCUUCCACUAGCAAAAAAACCCACCAACCGAAAUCAUCACACAAAGUCCAAAAAAACAUCAUCAUCUUUCCUCUAUCAAAAUCAUCUUAUUGCAGCAAAAAAACAAAUAAAAAAUGUGGAGGUUUUACCGUUUCCUCCGCCCGCCCGCGCAUUUUCAGAGGACAAGUCACAUAAAACAAACACAGUUAAGCAGAAACAACUCUCUCAUGAGCAAAGCUAGCAUCUUUCGAAUGGGGACAAAGCUACACAAUUCUGAAUAUACGCCUAGAGUCUCCACUUUUUAAUCAAAUUUUAAUUAAUUAAUUAAGUUCCAACUUGCAUUGAUAUAAUUUAACUAGGUCAUUCAAUGCGUACAGUUGGCUUUAGGUGAAAAUGGGUCCCACAAGCUGACAUGAAAAUCAAGGCUCUCGGGGGCGUGGCCGGGACCAAUUCAUGGUUUGAUCCACUUUCGUGUUGAAUGGAUGAAAAGAUUUUCAUUUUCGUCAGAAAUGGAUAAAGACAAGACCUUUGUAACUCAAUGUUUUGCCUCACUAGGUGGUGGCGGGUGAGGCCAUUUUUUAUGGUGGUAGGUAGGGUCUUUUCCUUCGUUUUACUUGGUAUUCAAGCAUUUGAUUUAAGAUGAGAUCUACAUGAUGAUUGUUUUCACAAAACAAAAAUAUAAUUCAAACAGUCAACUUCUAUAGUACGACUGUUACUAAAUACAACCAAGUUUAUUCUACAAAAGAUAACGCGUAUAUUUUUUGUGCCAAAGGGUCAAAGGUUAAUAAACAAACGAGCCACAAAUUACCGUCUAGCCAUACCAAUAAGAAUCUCAAUCGAAGUUUUACCAAUUUCAGAAAAAAUGUGAGCUACAUCAAUUAAAAACUUAAUAUUCGGCAAUUCAAAUGAUUAAAAGCAUUUAAAUCCGAGAUUUUGUGUUAAAUUGUCCCCUUCCCAGGGGACACAUUGGGACAAAUUCUACUUCAGUUUGGAUGGAAAAGAAUCCUUUGUAUCCCAAAGCAAACGUAGCCUGGCCUACAUCUGGCACACCUAAAAUUACAGUAGCAAAACCAACCAUGAACAAUAAUUAUGAUAUCUUACAGCUUCUCCAAUUCCAAUUGCUGAAUUCAGUAUCCUUCCUUUCCUAGUGCCUUCAAUAGUGAGUUUGACCUAAUUACCUUUGAGAGGGCAAUCCCAAAGCUAAUAGAAUGUUAUGAAUCCUAUGAAACAAUUCAAUUGGGUAUCUCCUUCAGUUGUAUCGAGGCAUUUUCAGAUAACAUCUAUACAAAAUGAAAGGCCGAAGAUGACAUAUUUAAAAAAUAAAAGAUUAAUGGAUUUAAUGUGGCUGUCGCUACUGUUGGUGGGGAUUUAGAGUUGACAUAUUUUACAAUGCGCGUGUAUGAUCAGGACAUAUUUGCAUGUGGGUUGGUUUCGUUUCUUGAGGGUUCACGCUUCUUUCAUGGCGUUGAAGACGAAAGGCAGACUACCAGAGAGAAUCUGUCAAAGUAAACAACAUACACCUGUGAAGGGGAAGAUUUUUUGUCAAAUGAUCGAAACCACACAAUCUCAAAGUAAACAACAUACACCGGUGGGGCCACAAGACUCUAUGGCCUAAUGGGAACAAGAAAUCUUGACUUUUUAAAAGUUAGCCAGUUGGGCUGAGGCGUUUGCAUGCGGAACUUUUCAAGCGAUUUCAUGACAUUGGCUUGUUUGAUAGAAGAAGCUUCACCAAUUAAAAUCUGAUCACAUGUAAACAAAGAACAAAUGGGAUAUCAAGGAGAGAGAAUGAUUCUCCAUUUUUACAAUAUUGACUUAUUUUUACAAUAUUGACUUGACUUGGAUUGGAAGAACUUAGAUGAAGCUACACAGGCAUCCCCACUUUUGCACCAUUUUCCACAAGUUGGCCAAAAGCUCUCAUCUUGACCAUUUAAGAUUUUGUAGUUUGAUGAGGAGGCUGACAGAAAGUAGCAUUUGAUGCACCAGAACUGCUGCUGCAAACCGGGUUCCCGAAAAGUCUGCAACACGUAAAAGUGACAACCAAGAGUGAUGGUGAGGGGAAAAUACACAAUUAUCAUAGGAAAUCAAGAUCAAGGCCCAUCAACUGUCUCACAUUAAUGUAUUUUUGUAUUCAUAACCCAGACUUAUUCUGGAAAUCUGAUUGUUCUGCAGAUCAACAAGCUGCAGUUGUGGGUUGAUGCUAUCGCCCAUGUUCAACGUAUCAUUAAACGCAUUGUAUUUGAGCUUCCUAUCAAGAGUUUAAAAGAAAUGAUCAGUUUCAUAAAUUUACAGUGAAAACUUUGAUGCAUAUAUUCUUUAGUGUUCUCCCUGGAACUUACACUAGUUGUAAAUUUGGAAGGCUGAAAAGCUUCUCUGGCACAACCCCUUGAAGUGAUCCAAAUUCCAUGGCCCUGUGUGCCAUAAAAGGAGAGAAGUUUAACAAAGGAUUUCAAAUAAAGUUUUCAAAGUUUCCUUUUCUUAGACUUGUGAAGAGAUACAAAGACUUUUAUACAACCUCCUGAGAACUUACAAAGUGGUGAGUGAGGGUAAGGUUGAGAACCAAAGUGGAGCUUCUGAUGGGUCAAAUGAGUUGUUGCUAAGGUCUCUGAGAGUAAAACAUUAGGAUUUGUCAGUUCAACAGAAAAACAAACAAUUUGCAGGAAUAUUGGAACUAGAAAUGAUAUACUCACACAUAAUUGAGGGAAUUCAUUCCACUCAAGUCAGGUAGAGGGCCUGACAAGUAGUUGUGGGCCAAAUUUCUGGAAGAGAAUAUAUAAACCAUGAAAAAUCUGAUUAACAACCAACAAGAUGAUGGUUAAAUAGAACAGUAAAAUUGAUACUCACAAUUCGUUGACAUUCGUAAGGUUGUUAAGAUCUGAGGGGACACUUCCAGCCAGAGCAUUUGUAUCAAGCCGACUGUUGCAAGCAGGAUUGUCUUGAGUCCAAGUGUUGUCAAGAAGCAUAUACUUAGAAGUGGAAAAUAAAACAAAGAAAUUCAAGAUUUGGUUUUACUUACAGAACCUCAAGAGUCUUAAUAAGUCCUAAUGUUACUGGGAUAGUACCAGUAAACCUAUUUCCGUCAAGCAACCUGCAAGCGAAGAACGAAAAUCAGUUAGACGAAAUAAAAAUAGAGAACAUAAACUAGUUGAUGGGAUCAACUUACAAGUGUAUCAGUGCCAUCUUAGAGCUGAAAAGUUUGGAAGGUAUGAUACCUGAAAGCUGGUUCUUGUUCAAAUGGCUGCAUGUUCAUAAAAUCAUUUUAGUGCUUAUGCAAUAUACAGUGGCAUAAUCCCUAUCAAAAUUUUACUUUUUCACAAUGGAGAAGAGUUGGGAUAUGGAUAAUUGCUCACAAGUGUUUAGCCUUCAACAGGAGGUCUAAGCCAGGGGAAUGGUAGGUCGAAAUUGGAAUUGUUCCAGUCAACUGAUUGUCUGCCAGGUCCAGCCAGUAGAGUUUGGAGAGUUUGCCCAAAGAAGGAGGUAUGACACCCGAAAAGUUAUUUGAAUUCAGAGCCCUGAGAAGGACCAAAGUUUUACAUAAAGUUGGGAAAAGAAAAAACUCAUAUUGACUUGAUGCACUAAAAGCAUGAUUACUAAUAUUUUCUUACAAGAAGGAUAGCUCUGCAAGAUUGCCUAAUUCAUCUGGAAUUUCACCAUUGAAGCUGCAACCAGCUAGGAUGCUAAAAGAUGAAAAGUGUCAUGAGUUCUCAUUCAAUAUAUAUAAAAAAUAAAAAAUGUAUGUUGCAUUUUGCAUAUACAAUGCUCAAAUUGGAAAUAGGAAAAUUGCUUGCUCAUUUGUUCUUACAGGAUACUUAAAUUUUUCAGAUUCCCUAAUCUUGGAGAGAGAGGACCUGUGAGGCCAGGGUUGAAAGAAAGGUCCCUGCACAGUGUGAGUGUUUCAGCUUCAAUAAUCAAACAUUAAGAUAUCAAAAUAACUGACAAUGCAAAAGAAAUAUGUUUCAAGUGUAUGCUUUACAUGUUUUAAAACUCACUUCAAAUUGGCUUUAAAACUCUUUUCAAAUUGGCGGUAUUGUGCAAAUACAAUGCUGGUAAAAAGAGGACACAUCAUACUCACAAGGAUUUUAAUUCAAUGAGUCCACCAAUGUCACCAUAAAGUUUCCCCUUGAGGCUUAUGUUUGAUAAUCCCCUGCACAUAAAAGCAGAAAUUUGUGGUAAGGGAAGAAAGUGAUAUCAUUGCCCUUUAACUACAAAGAUAGAUCAACAGCAGCACUCACAGUCCAGACACCCUUGAAUUGUUGCAGGUGACUCCCUCCCACCGGGAAUCACAGGGAUCAUUUGACUUGUCCCAACUGGGUGGCGUAUUUUGCCACGAAUUCUUCAAGGAUAGGAGCACAGCAGCUGGAUCGACAAGCUUAUAAAUCAAUCAAACUACCCUUAAGAGAGCUUUUAGGCAUAUAUGUGCAGAAUGUUCAUUUUUCAAUUAACAUAAAAGGGGAGAUCAUGCAAGAACAUACCAUCAUUGGGGUCUGUGACAGAGGAGAUCAUGCAAAUCCCUGCAGAAUAGAAGAUAGCCAGAAAGAGAAGCAUUCGCAUGGUUGCCAUGGUCAGGAGGAUGUCAAAGGCACUCAGCGAAGAUUUGGGUUCUUUCUCUUCACCCUUCUUCUGUGUAUAUAACAACUGCAAGGUGCAGCCCUUGACUUUUUUGACUUCUACUGAAUGAGGACUUAGUUGCAUGCAUGCACUGGCAAAAACAAAGUCCCCUUCCCAGUAAUUUAAUUAACAAUGCUUUUCUUUCUGAACAAGGAAGCCGCUUUAGUCGAUUCAUUUUAUAUAAACAAUGUGGACUGUCUAGUGCUUUUACCGUUUCCACCGCCUACCCGCGCAUACCAAAUUUCCAUUGAAUUGGUACAAACAGAAGCUCCAAGAAACCUUAUCUGCCUCUUGGAAAUUAAAUUUGGCUAUCUUCAACCAAUCAGGCACAUUUAGUGAAUAAUUGGUUUGAUGGAUUCAAUGAUGGUGAGAGCUAGCUAGUUUAUGUGACAGAUGUUUCAUGUUUUCUGUACACAUUUGAAUUUAUGUGUUUAGACUUCAAAGACUCUAAAAUCCCUCCGUUGGAGAAAACCUGAUGUCACCACUACGGCGGAAUUUCAAACCAAUAACACAUUGCCAUCUGUUUUAACUUUUCGACAUAAUAUUGCAUGAAGUUUGAGAUGACAUCCCAUCGCACAGAAACACUUCUCCCUCAGUUGAGCUACUAGUUGAACCCUUCUCCUAAUUGCAGCAUAAAAUUUCAUUCAAGUUUCUAACUUUCAUCCCAAAAUAAGAGGCUUGGGAUCAAAAUCUUCCCAACCUUAACACUCAUUCAUUUGACAUUGGUAGUCAACUUAACAACACAUAACUAAUUUUGUGUUUUCCAAUAAUUCUAAUAUUUUUUUAUGAUUGCAUUCAUCAACAGCAGUAUCUAUGUAAAGCAUAUAGCCGCUAUGCGUAAAGCCGUGCGGCUACGCUUUUUUUAAAUAAAAAAAAAAUCCCAAGUAUAGCCGAUCGGCUACAUUAUUUUUAUAAAAAAAAACAAAAAGAGGACCAGCCCAGAGCCUUGCGAUUCGGCACCCAUGUGUCAAAACAGUACCGCCGUGGGGCUAUACUAUUUUUUUAUGAUUAAAAAACCAAGUAUAGCCGCACGGCUACACUAUUUAUUUUUUUAAAAAAAAACCCGCCGGCGACUGCUCCGCUUUGCCACGUGUCAAAAAUAGUACAGCCGCGCGGCUAUACCAUUUGCCACGUGUUAAAUGUAUAGCCGAGCGGCUAUACUAUUUUUAAUAAUAAAAAAUCGUAAUAUAGCCGCGCGGCUAUAAGCUUUUCAUACUAAAACCUAGGGGACCCGCCUGGCGCUUAGCUCCCGCUUUGGCACGUGUCAAAAACAGUAUAGCCGCCCGGCUAUACGCUUUGAGUAUAAUAGGAUCAUAAAUGGGCCCGCAUGACCCACUAAACAUCAACUGGAACCUUAAGAAACUGGAAGUAGAAGCUAGAAACUCAAAGCCCAGACGCCUGGAAGACGCAAACUGAUACCACGAAGAAGAGAAAUCAAUGGCAGGGACGUUAGUAUCUCGGGCCUUCCUUCUUCUUACCGCCUCUAACUACAAGUCCAAUCCUUUCCCCUUUGUUCUCAGUAAGCGUCUCAUAGGCAUAGCCAUAGCUGCAGCCAACCACUCCAACAAAACCAUCUCUUUUGCUUCUUCUUCUUCUUCACUCACAGAAAACCACCCCAGGAGGUUGCUUCUCCCAUUAUCGCUAUCUCCUUUUCGUACCUUCGAUAGUUUUAGGUUCAGCUCCUCCGAACCCAGCACCAAAGUCAAUACCAAGGUUAACUUCUCUCUUCCUUCAGACGACAAAGACGAUGACGAAACGACGACGAAAACCGCCACCAAAGAGAUCGACAAGUCGAAGCUCCCUCCCCCGUACGACCCUUUCAACAAGAAGCCCGCCAUCGAGGACCCAGAAGACCCAAAAGACCUGCAAGAAGUCUUCCACAAGAUGCGCACCGAUGGCCUCACUAACAAUGCAGUCAAGAUGUUCGACGCAUUGUCCAAAGACGGCUUAACCCACGAGGCCCUGGAGCUCUUUGCUCAAAUCAAGGACAAGGGUCAUAUGCCAGACGUUGUUUCACACACUGCCGUCAUAGAGGCCUACGCCAAUGCCGGCAAGACCAAGGAGGCUCUCAAGGUGUACCUGCGCAUGUUAGCCUCUGGGGUCGCCCCGAACGCCUACACUUAUACUGUUCUCAUCAAGGCGCUGGCUGCCGACCCCAGCUGUAAGUUCCUUGGGGAUGCCAAGAAGUAUUUGCUGGAGAUGAUGGGCAAGGGAAUGCGGCCCAAUGCCAGUACCUACACGGCAGUGUUCGAGGGGUUUGCGAGGCACGAGGAGAAGGCAGAGGAGGGGAGGGAGUUGCUGGUGGAAAUGAAAGCUAAGGGGUUUGUGCCGGACGAGAAAGCUGUGGGGGAGGUUCUUAAGAGCAAGAGAGGGCCUGUGGUUAGAAGCGUCAUCAACAUUCUCUUUGGCAAGUAGAUAGAUUUUGCUCGUUCUAUGUUUUCGUUUUUCUUAUGAAGUUUGGAACUUGAAAUGAAAUGCCAAUUCAACCAAUUCAAAGUUAAAUCUCUGAUGACUGGUGAGAAGCGGAUAAAAUAUUGCUCCUCAAAACAAUUCAAACUUUAGGACAUGAGACAUAACUUUUUCUUCAAGAAAUGUUUACCACCUACGUAAAUUUAAAAACACACCUACAUUCACUGAUUAUAAUGUCAAACAAAAUACAUUCGUGAGAGGGAGAGAGCAGUUCAAAAUUAAUUCCUAUAGCUCUUUUAGAAGUCUCGUUCAAUUUGAUUCUUGUAAACACGCUGGAGUAGCAGCAUCUCCCAAUCUCCUUGACCACGGAUGCCCCACAAACACAAAAUAGCGGUGGCAGCAGCAGCCUCUAACCCACCACGGUGCUGGAAAACUGAUGUUUAAGGAUGCACGUAACCCACCAGCGGUUCUGCAAAACUGAUAUUUAUGGAUGCACAUCUAAUAUCCUUGCUUGGUAGGGCAUUCUGAUGCCCUGUGGCCAGACCUCCCACAAUUGAAACAGGAACCUCCAAAGCUUCUGGAACAGCAAAUUCAGAUAUAAUUUCAGUUGUGCAAAUUUGAAUAUCAAUCAAGGAGCAACCACCCCUAUGGGACCAUAAGUUGAGAAAACCUUAUUGAUUUGAAUAUCAAACAGUAGGGUAUUCUGGUAAAUUAGUUGUUCAUUAUGCCAGGAAUGCAAUCUCUUUCCAUUUCAGUUAGUUAAGCCCUGACUGAUACAUUACUCCGGUUUAGACCCAAGUCUCAUUUAAGAGAAGGCGAUUGAUUAUUAGCAUAAGAGUGGGGAGGGAAAAUUUUGAAAGAGGAGAGAUAUUAAAAACAAAGAAAAAUAAUUCCCAAACUCGUCAACAAUGUACACUAAGAACUGUCGUUGCUGGCUCAUAAGUUCAUAACAAGUUCAGACUCUCUAUAUAUUUUACCAAGUGAGCACAUUCUUCUACUUGAGACUAUAAGAUCACUGCACUAUUAGAUGGACUAUUAGAUGUUUUUAAUUUGCUAGAGUAACGGUUAUUCUUCUUUCAAUGUUAACUCAAGAAAGAAUGAGAAACUUGAAAUGUGUAGAUAAUAUACCUGUCUCGGGAUGAUGACCUGCUUGAUGGUCUACCUCCAAUAAGCCAAUCAUCAUCUGUGCUUCUUGAAGUCCGAGAUUGGCUGUUGCUAUUUCCAAAACUUCGACCACCACCUCUACCACCACCUCUACCACCACUCCUAAAUGAAUCAUCGGCACCAUCACUAGAACCCCAACCCCUGGAACUUCUAAAACCUGAUGAUCCUUGACGAUCCCUAGAACCUCCCCGUCGACUAUUCCGAUCUCUGCCUGAAAAUCUGCCAUAGUAGUCAUUCACUGGCCCAUCAUCUUGCAGAGCUGGCAACUGACAACACAGAAUAAUACAUGCAUAUAAACAUCUCUGUUAGUAGUUUUUUCAUGCAAAAGCUGCAAUCAUGAGAAAGUGACCAAAAGCAAAAGUAGACCUUGUUUAUCUUGGAAAUAGUGUUUCCAGGAGGUAUUUGUCUAUUUAGUAACUCUUUUGCAAUCUCUUCUGGAAGAUCAAAAACUGCUCCUUGAACCUGAUAUUGUCACCAUCAAAAUUUGUUUCAAGUGAAAUGAAUUAAAGCACUGGAUCAAAAUAAGCAUGAGAUGUUGUAAAUACAAACCCUUUCGUCUGCAAUUAUAUGUAUUUUUCCUACUUCAUCAGCUGCUGCAGAAUAAACAUCUGAAAGAAACCCAGUGACAGAUCUAGCAGACAGGAACCCUCUGGCAAAAGCUGGAUCUCUAAUAAUUUGCAAUGUCGUCCAUCCCUGCAUAUAAUUUUCCAGUUCAAAUAAUAUAACAAAAUACCUGAGGAAGGUUCCAAAACACACACACACCCUAAACCCUAAAUCCUAAAUCUCACUCCACCAAGAACAUAAACAACCUAAACAGAAAAUUAAGCGUAAAUUGACUUCGAUAAUUACCUGCUCAUGAGUGAUAAGGGACCGGGAUGAUGGAGGUCGAGAAAAUCCACUCAACUGUGCUAGUGCAGCAGCAAGGGCAUUUGUUCCCUGUUCAUCAAUCAAUUUCUGUGCAGUUGGUGUGAAAAAUUGUACAGAUUCAGGAUGAACUCCACUGAGAGUAGCAACCACGUGCUGAGCAGAAGACUCUAAAACUUCUUCAAUAGUUGGUGGACUAACAAACUCAAACUUGCACCCCACAUCACGCUCAAGAGUUCUAACUGUUCUCCUCUGGUUGUUAGUAAACAUCAGAACGGCAGUACCUUGUUUCCCUGCACGUCCAGUACGCCCAGAACGAUGCACAAAUGUCUCUGAAUCAUUGGGAAGUUCAUAGUGGAUCACCUGGAAAAAGAAAAGGAAAAAAAUAUUAUUGAAGCCACAGGCUUAUCAAGGUGUUGGCAGCUGAACUCUGGUAAAGACAUACAGAGUGGUAAUAGUUUCAUAUAAACGUGUACUAGGACCAAAAUAAGUAUAAUUAAAAUUUGAUUAGGAAUCAUAGGUAAUUCCUGGAGCUUACCAAAUCAACAUUGGGAAUAUCAAGUCCACGGGAUGCAACAUCAGUGGCAACAAGCACAGUGAAUUUCCCUUGCCGAAAACCAUUUAAUGUUCUCUCUCUUUGAUGCUGUGAUAUAUCUCCAUGCAAUGCCUCAGAAGCUAUGCUAGUUGUUAAUGACAUUGAGACUUCAUCAGCAUCUCGUUUUGUUUGUGUAAAAACAAUGGUCUUCCCACCCUUUGCAUAAACCUGAAGAUAUGACAUUCUUCAGUGCUAUGCGAUAAAUGUUCCCUUUUUGAAAUAAUGUACAACUAUGCGGAUCCAUCUUAUGACAGUUAUGAGAUACCAUGGCAAUAGUUAAGAUCUAUCAGAAAGCCAUGCAUAUGAAACAUUUGUCAUUUGAAAUAGAUAUAAUCAACAUCGCCAUCCGCAGUUAUGAGAAAAUUAGAUACCAUGAGGCAGAGAGUUUUUUUUUUUUUUUCUUCAUAUGAUGUCAGUUAUGAGAUAUCAUAACAAUGAUUAAGUUCUAUCAGAAAGGCAUGCAUAUGAAACAUCUCUCCUUUUCAAAUAGUGGACUUGGCUGGCUGAGAUUUCUAACACAUCAGAAGUUACAAUAUUUCACUAUCUUGUUCAAAAUGAGCCAAAACAAGAGAAAAAUAAAGAGUUCCAACUCUUACCGUUAUAAGGUCACUAAGAAUGGUCCGCUUUGAAGAUCCAGUGGUUGAUAAAGCAUAAAGUUUGAUCCCUUCUGCAAGCUUCUCCUCUUGGUCACCAACCUUUGGAAAAUAAGAAAGUAGAAAAGGAAAAGUUUUAAGAUUUACUUUCCACUUUACAAUAUAAACAUAAGAAAUGCCGAAUUAGGACUUUGACAUUACUUCAAAGUUUAAACAACUACAACUUCCAUUGGCUUUAAUAUCUCCAGUUUGUAAGCGUAACUCCAUGCCAUAUUCUAAUUGCACAAGAUUAUAAACAAAGAAAAGAAAGAAACCUAAAGAAUUAACAUUACCAAAUCAAUCGUCAAUGGGUUGUCCAAGUAUUUCCGUGCUAGUUUUUUCACCCAAGCAGGCAUAGUUGCAGAAAACAGCAUGCUUUGCCUCUGAGUUGGAAGCUUUUGUAAAAUUACUUCCACAUCCUCCUCAAAUCCAACAGCAAGCAUUGAAUCAGCUUCAUCGAGUACCAAAUAUUGAACUUCGCCCAGUUUGAGGCUGUUACCAUUUAUCAGGUCAAUAAUUCGACCAGGAGUUCCAACCACCACAUCAACUCCACGCGAGAGAGCACUUUGUUGUGUUAUGUACGAAACCCCACCAUAAACACAAACAGUGUUUAGAUAAGGUGCAGAUUCUUUAAUCUCUUUUUCCACUUGUUUCGCUAACUCCCGAGUAGGUGCAAGGACCAGAACUCUAGGAAGAUAACCAGUCCGCCUGUAAAAGGAGAAAUAGAGAAAUUCAUCAAAAGAUUUUCAAAAAAGAUUAGUCUUUAGUUCUAAUGUGUGAAAAAUAAAUGGUACCUAUGAGAACUUCUCUGUUCAUCAUCCUCUGUGAGGCGCUUCAGUAUUGGAAUUCCAAAGGCUAAUGUCUUUCCAGUCCCAGUCUUUGCACGAGCAAUGAUAUCUCGACCUUCCAAUGCAGGUACUAGCACAGCCCUCUAAAAUUUUUAAAGAAAAAAGUAACUAGAAAAUCAUUAUACACAUACCUUGAUAAACACAUUUUGAUACAUAAAUAUAAAAAUGUUAAAUUUGACAAGAAAAGGUCACUGUGUGAUGAGACUAAAAUAUUUACACGCCAGAACAAGACAAACAACACAACAUGGGAGGAUGAACAAAGAAAAUGCAGGUAGAUGAUGGAUAAUGUUAUGAAGGGCACCAAAAUGGCUACAAAAUGUUUUAAUCUGCAGAAAGCUUACAUAUUGCCAUACAAACACACAAUCUAAAGGAUGAUGCUCAAAAGGGUUGUGAAAAAAACUAAAUUAGAGUAAGUUCAUCAUUACAGAAAUAGAAAAAACACAACUUUUAAAAUAAAAAGAUAAGAAAAGCAAAACCAGAGAGAGGAACAAAGUACCUGAAUAGGGAAAAGGCUUGAAAUGCCACGUUUCUCAAGGCUGUCGACGAGGCGCUGAGGCAAACCCAAUUUGGAAAGAGCGAGCUCAUCAUCAUCACCGGCGGCAGAAGCUGGCUCAGUUUCAGAGUCAUAUUCCGAGUCCGAGUCCAGAGAGUCUUUAGAGAAGCCACCAAGCCCUUUGAACGCCUCUUCACUGAGCACCGAAUUGGGCGUUGCAAUAGCUGAAGCAACAAGACUAGACUGCCUGACCAGGCCACUCUUGGCUCUCAAAACACUGUUAAAGUGAGGCCUCUCUGGAAACGCAAGAGAAAGAGAAGGGCUGCUAGUUGUAGCUGUUGUUGUUGUCGUUGAAGCUGCUGCUCUUCUGUAAAGCUCACUACAUGGAGUCUGGGGAUAGAUAGAAGAAACGCCUAUAAUAGAAGUCAUUUCUGCAACUAUAGCAGAAGCGGCUUUGCUCUGUUCGCUCUAACUCGCCCUUCUUUCUUCUCUUAUCUCUUUGACCCCAACGUGCUCGUUGAAAGUCCCAAGAGAAAAAGAAGAAGAAAAAGAAGAAGAAGAAGAUAGAGGAUAAUGAGAGAGGCAGAGAGGCUCAAAGAUAAUUUAGGUCUGGAUAAAUGAGAGUGAUGAAGGGGGCGGCCUCUGUAGGUUUAAUAUAGAGCGAUAGAGAGGAGUGAGAGUGAGAGGGAGAUAAGGCCACACUACAACCUUUGCGAAUGUAUGGCCUCCCAAACCUCCACCUCGGUUAAUAUUUCGCAGAGCCCCGGAUAUUUCUUCCCGGGUCCAAAUUCAUAUUGCGACUUGACCCGAAAACGCCGGGCUCUCUUCUACCCGGUGCCGGUAGUUACUAUUAUUAUUAUUAUUGUUCUUUUUUUUUCCCUUGAAUCCAACCUUUCUAGCGCCUAGUAUAUUGUAUUACAAUUAUCUGAACCCUUUAUCUUUUAAGUAUUGCAUAUAAAUUUAAAAUUAUUUGACAAUUCAAUAUGUUUUAAUGGUUUUCAAUUUAUUUAAGGGUUAGUUUGAGAAUACUUUUAUAGAAAGCACUUCUAUUUAUAAGCGUAUUUUUACAAUCGCUUUAUUAGAGAAACGUCAACAUUUUUGAUCCACAAGCAUUUAUAAGUUUUUCUCUCGAACACUAUUUAGAAGCUUUAUGAAGCACUUUUAAUCCUUUUAAAAGCAUUUCCAAAUAUGCUCUAUUUAUAUUUUAUUUUUAAAAUGAUUUUAAUAAUUAAAAUAAGAAUAGACCUCACAAGAUCCCUCGCAUAAAAUAUUUGAGGAAUACAUAGGAGGAUACUGCAAUUCUAGAAUUUUAUAAUUCUAUAUCUGGGGUCAGUUGGAGUUCGAUUGCCAGCCAAUUCUGGGGAAAAUUCUGUGGUGCCUCAGCUGUACCGGUACAGCCAGCUAUCCAACGGUUGAGGUUCCAUGUUAAAAAAGGAUGGCUGAGAUUCAAUGACCUAAUGACCUCUUCAGCCAUUGUGAUUCAGCAUGUGAGUGGCAUGUGAGGAAAGAGAAAGGCAGGUUUGGAGGAGGAGAAGACGCGACCAGUCCGCUCCAUUCUGGUUUCCCAAAUCGAACACAACAUAGGGAACUAGAGGACUCUGUGAGACCCCAUUUCUGUCUACCUCUGUGAAUACUGAGUUUUCGGAGCAGUAGAGACUCGGGCUUUAGCCCUUUCAUCUGAAGUGAAGGGGGGCUUACAGAAGUCACAGCACCAGAGGAAACUGUACAUGAAGCCGAUCCAAUCCGUAGCGCCUCCAGGAGCUCUUCUCUGUGCUUGCCCAAAUUCAAUCCUUAGCAACUCCUGUCUGUGCUUGGGCAAAACGCAUCUGCAAGAAGGUAAUGGUAAUAGAAUUGAGGUCCUCAACUCUUCUCUCUAGUUGCCCGAAACUGAAAUGCAGAUACCAAAUUGAUGGUGGGUCCAACCUCCAUGAUGAAAUGGUCACCAAAUUGGAGGGAUUUAAGUAAUUUAGUAUGGGCUGUUGGCAUUGUGUGAUAUAUAAUUAAAAUUUUGCAGGGGAAUGGAUUUGUAAUAAUAAUGUGGUUGUAAAGAUUUUGAAGAUCCUUGGCUGUUAACGACGAAAUUUGAGGUGGUGGCAAAAGGAAGUGAAAGGAGGAGGCUUUGAAAGUAUGGAAACAUCAAGUAAGAUGUCAAAGAACCCUAUUUUCUGGUUUAGGACUUGAAUGUAUUUUGGGUAUUGAGUUGAUGCAAUUGCAUGUUUUUAGUUGCGAAACAGUUAUACGUGGUCAAUUAUUGACCUUAGUAUGUGCAAUAGCAUGACAUUAUUCAUUUGAGUUUUUUUUUUUAAGAGAAAGUAUGUUAGCACAUAGAGUAUAAUGUAAUUUCAGUUUGAAAUUAUGUUUCUCAGGCAUGGAGAGGUCUGGUAAGAUGGACAGGGGUGGAGAGACAUCAAAGGGUGGUUAUAGUGAUUCAGGGUAUUUGGAUGGUUGUGAAAGGUCAAGUCACAGGGCACCGGCAACAGAGAGUGGGCAUAUGUCGGUCGAACAUAUGGUUAGUGAAAGUAGUGAUGAUAAUGGUGUUGACAUUAUUGCACCGAGGAAAGAAGAUGUUAUGGGGAAAGAGUUUAAAACGAUAAAAUUAGCGGAAGAAUAUUAUAUGAGUUAUGCGAAGGGCAUUGGAUUUAGCGGGAGAAAAAACAAAUUGGUUCGAAAUUCGGAAGGGAAAGUAUGUAGGAGACGGUGGUGUUGUUCUAAAGAAGGUUUGAGAAAUGAGAAGUUUAAUGAUCGAUCAAAUAGGAUGGUAGAUAUUUUAAUAAGCAUAGUUUUGUUUGUCUUUGCGCUAUACAUUAAUCAGCGUAGCGUUGUUAAGCUUUGUUCAGUUUGCACACAGGGGAUCAGUAUUUGCAUUGAACACAUGCAAUUGCAUGACGAUGAUGCAAUGCAAGUCCUUCUGUGCGCAAACCCCUAAUUGUUUAGAAAAAUGAAUCUUAUUCUUUUGUACAGGCAUAAUUACACCUGUUUUUUAAACUAUAAAUCGAAGGUCAAAAUUAACCGAAAUACAGAGCAUGAGAAACGAUAAGGGGCAAUAAGCCGAACAUAUUAUAUUACAAAGCGACCAAUUAUCGAAAUUACGUUGUAAUACACAUUGUCAUGUAGCACAUUUGACUUGAGGGUAGAUCCCGAAUUGUGUAAAACACAAUGUCAUUAACCCUAAUAUUGAAUAAUAGACAUAGGGUCAACUAAGUGUUUGCUUGGUUUUGUUUGUCUUUGCGCUAUACAUUAAUCAGCAUAACGUUGUUAAGCUUUGUUCAGUUUGCACACAGGGGGUCGGUAUUUGCAUUGAACACAUGCAAUUGCAUGACGAUGAUGCAAUGCAAGUCCUUCUGUGCGCAAACCCCUAAUUGUUCAGAAAAAUGAAUCUUAUUCUUUUGUACAGGCAUAAUUACACCUGUUUUUUAAACUAUAAAUCGAAGGUCGAAAUUAACCGAAAUACAGAGCAUGAGAAACGAUAAGGGGCAAUAAGCCGAACAUAUUAUAUUACAAAGCGACCAAUUAUCGAAAUUACGUUGUAAUACACAUUGUCAUGUAGCAUAUUUGACUUGAGGGUAGAUCCCGAAUUGUGUAAACUUAUAUUGACUAAUAGACACACAUUAAUAUAGAAGUGUAUUUAGUGGAUUUGGUUUCUAGUGCAUAUCCCUUGGUACAAGGCCUAGGUUCGAGUCAUAGUUAUGUGCAUAUAUUUGUAAUUUUAUUCCCUUUUUAUUAUAAGAACAAAAUUUUAAAUAGUUUUAAAAAAGAAGCACGUGAAAAAUAUAAGAGGAUAGAUCCAAUUAAACCAACAAUAGUAUAUAUCGCACCCAUACAUUUUUUCCUUAAAAAAUAAUAAUAGUAAUUUCUUCAACUCAAAACAAAACACCCAUUCAUGUCUUCUUCUUUCUCGUGAACUUUUAUUUACUUAACAAAUGCACUCCCUGCGUUCGCCUGAAAAAUAGCUCAUUUGUUUGAAAAACUAAGUUAGUGGGGUCCAUUUUCCAAGGGAACGGUAACUUUACUCAACGAAAGUGCCCAUUGCGUUCGCGUGAAUAAAUAUCUCAUUUGUUUGAAAAAGUAAGUUAGUGAGGUCCAUUUUUCCAGGGAACGGGCAACUUUACUCAACGAACGCAACCCCUACGUUCGCGUGAACAAAUAGCAUGUUUAUUUGAAAAAGUAAGUUAUUUGGGCCAAUUUUACCGAGGAACGAGUAACUUUUCUCAACGAAAGCAACCUCUGCGUUCACGCGAACAAAUAACCUGUUUGUUUGAAAAAGUAAGUUAUUUGGGCCCAUUUUUAUGGGGAACGGGCAGCUUUACUCAAUGAACGCAAACCAUUGUGUUCGCAUGAACAAAUAACUCGUUUGUUUGAAAAAGUAAGUUAGUUGGGCCAAUUUUUCCGAGGAACGAGCAACUUUACUCAACGAACGCAACAUCUGCCUUCGUGUGAACAAAUAGCCCAUUUGUUUGAAAAAGGAAAUUAGUUGGGCCCAUUUUUCUGGGGAACGGGAGAUUUUACUCAACGAACGCAACCCAUUGCAUUCGUAUAAACAAAUAGCCCGUUUGGUUGAAAAAGUAAGUUAAUUGGGUAUACUUUUGGGGGAAACGGGCAACUUUACUCAAUGAACGCAGCCCCUGCGUUUGUGUGAACAAAUUGCCAUUUGUUUGAAAAAGUAAGUUAGUUGGGCUCAUUUUUCCGGGGAACGGGCAACUUUACUCAACAGAUGCAACACCUGCGUUUGCGUGAACAAAUAGCUCGUUUGUUUGAAAAAGUAAGUUAGUUGACCCAUUUUCUCCAUGAACGGGCAACUUUACUCAACGAACGUAACCCCUGCGUUCGCGUGAACAAAUAGCUCGUUUGUUGGAAAAAGUUAGUUAGUUGGGUCUAUUUUUCCGGGGAAUGGGUAACUUUACUCAACAAACACAACUUUUGCAUUUGCGUGAACAAAUAAUCCGUUUAAUUAAAAAAAGUAAGUUAGUUGGGCCCAUUUUUCCUGGGAACGAGAAACGAGGAACGGGCAACUUUACUCAACGAACGCAAUCCCUGCGUUCGCAUGAACAAAUAGCUCAUUUGUUUGAAAAAGUAAGUUAGUUGGGUCCAAUUUCCUUGGAAACGCCAACUGUAUUCAACGAACGCACCCCCUGCAUUUGCGUGAAAAAAUAGCGUGUUUGUUUGAUAAAGUAUUUUAGUCCGUCAAAUUUUCCGGGGAACGACGAACUUUACUCAACAAGCGCUCCCCUUGCGUCUUCGAAGUAAAAUACCUUGUUUGUUGAGUAAAUCAAGGAGUUCGUUGGGUAAUUUGGUCAACGAACAACAUUAUUUACUUGACGAACGAGUCGCUUAGCGUUCUUUAGGUAGGUUUGUUGGGCAUAAAUUACUGAAUAUAACUUUCAUAAUUUACAAAGAACCAAGGUAAAAUGAAGGAUUAUUUAAGGAGUUACUUCCUCUACAUUUCAACUCAAAGACUUCCACCUCUUUUGUACUUAAUCCAUUAUUCAAACACAAUCUGAGAGACAAAAACAGAAAACCCAAACAAUGUCACAUUCAAUGGUUGGUAGCUCAAGAGGCUCCACCACACCUAAGAACAAGAGGUUGGGUGAUGAUGGUGUUAAUUCUUCGAAUUAUGUCCGCCAACAAGUCAAACGAGCCCAUGAUGUCACGAAGCCUCCCACCGAGGCUAGUAACAACAUCUUUGAUGAAGGAGAUUCAACGACCAAGUACCACAUUUACAAUGGCGGGAUUGAGAUCGGCUUUGAGAUGUUUAGGAAAUACGCUCAGCUUGAUGGUGGUUCAACUAAGUGGGACAAAAUCCAGGUAUACGAAGCAAUUGCUAUUUUGGAGAAGCGAGCUCCGUGAAACACCGGUAUUGUAUGAUUUAUUUGGUGUUGGUUGUCAUCAUUUCUGAUGUCAUUUCAGAUGUUAUAAUUUCAGCCAUAAUAUCGGAUGUUAAAUGUUAGAAUCGGUAUGGUAGAAUAGUUUGAGGGUAUAAAAUGUACAAAAAAAUAACCCCAAAAUAUGGUUACGAGACCUUUAUUAUCAAUCUAGUAGGAACUCCUGUUUGGUAAAUGAAGUCGGGGCUUCAAUACCCUGCUAUCAUGUUCCCAUUGCGGCAACAAAAAAACUCUGGUGUGCAAUGUAUUACGUGAAGUAGAUAACGUCCAAUUGGCCGUCACAUAAUGCAAUUGUCCAUGACAUACUGCAAACACAACGUCCCUGUAUGCAAACAGGAAUACGUACAUGCAAUUGCACAACCUUAACCAUCAACCUUAUGUGCAUGCAGUUACAGUAUAUGGAACUAAUAAUAAUAAUAAUUUACUAUUAAAUAUAUAUUAUUCUAUAGAUAAUAUGUCUAAUUUAUAUAAUUCAUAUAGCAAUAUAUAUAAUAUAGAAUUUAUAUAUUUUUUACCUUUUUAUUUUCUACUAUUUCAUAUAUAGUUUCCUAACACAUAUAGAGCCCUUCCGGAACCCCUUCUUUCUUCUUGAACAUCACCUUUUCCUUUGCCUUCUUGAAGUCUAUAUGUGUCACCUGAUGCACACAAUUUAAAUGUAACACCCACGUUAAUUACAAUGAUUAAGCAACCAGUUGAAUCAAACACAGUAAGAAAUGAUAAACAAAUUUCAGAGAUUCAAGAUGGGGAAGGGAGGUUGGAAGAUCAAAGUGUCUUUCUCACCUUCAUACGGCGCUCUCUCAAAGCAAGCAAACCAGCUUCAGUACAUAUUGCCUUUAUAUCAGCCCCAGAGAACUCAUCCUUGGUCAUAACAAAUUCUUCUAAGUUGACAUCAUCAGCCAACGUCAUCCUGGAUGUGUGAAUCUGCAAUCAAUAGAUCCAAUCAUCGUUAGUCACAACCAUAAAAACUUGGCACGUUUGAUGUUGAAUUUGUUUCUUUCUUAUAAACAGUCAUGUCAAUUUACCUGGAAGAUGCGCCUCCUUGUUUUGAUAUCAGGAAGAGGGAAUUCAAUCUUCCUAUCUAUUCGGCCAGGACGAAGCAAGGCUGGGUCAAGACUCUCAAUUCUAUUUGUUGCCAAGAUCACCUUGACAUCUCCUCUUCAAUCAAAACCAUCUAACUGGUUCAGUAACUCCAACAUGGUCCUCUGAAUUUCACGUUCACCACCUGAAUGGGCAUCAUACCUGCAGACAAAAGAUCAUCUGGAACAUUUGAUUAACAGUAAUUUACAAUCUUUUCAUCAAUGUUCAGCGACUUGCAGCUCACCUCUUUGUACCAACUGCAUCAAUUUCGUUGAUGAAGACAAUGGAGGGUGAGAGGUCAUCAGCAACCCUAAAGAGUUCCCUCACUAAUUUCGGACCAUCCCCCAAGUACUUCUGAAUCAACUCACUACCAACAACACGUAAGAAAGUUGCUGAUGUUGAGUUUGCCACUGCCUGAAAAAAGUGAAAAUAUGCUUACACGCUGAGAAGAUAAUUUGACAAGAAGAGUGCAGAUACAACAAAUAUGCCAUAAGCAAACAUCAUUGAAAGGAACUCUGUGGGGCACGCAUAAUUUUCGUUAACUGUGACAAUAAAAUUUUGAAACUAGACAGGUCUUUGCAACAAAUUUUGUUGGUGCUUGCUCUGACCCAAAUGUCUAUUGUGAGUAUGAUAUCGGUGGGUGCAUGAGAGAGAGGUGCACCCACAAACAUACAAACAAACAGGAAAACUAGCAAAAGCAAUUGCUACUGGUGUCAGCAUUGCAAAAUACACAAAAAUGGUGACAGAAAUAGAGAGCAAACUAUAAUAUCACAAAAUGAGAAUAGAUGCAGCGACCUGUUGGAAGGAAAAUAUCAGUUUGAUGAUAUUUGACACCCAACUAAUGACAACUGCAUCCCUACGGCAUGUUGCAUACAGAAUAUGAUACAAAUUGGAAAACAACAUGGGAGACAAGUCUGAAAUCUUGCAACUUAAUUGAAACAGUGAAGCAGGUGACUGCACCCUGAUUUUUUUGUAACAUGUGCAAGUGGGGAGGAUAUUCUAGUGAACAAGACAGAACAAGGAUACCAAAAGAACAAAUAAAUACAAGCAAAAGUUGAGAUACGUGCAUACUUUGGAAAAAAAAAACUAUAUACUGUAAUUGCAUUCAAUGACUUGGAUUUGCAUACAGGCUAUUAGUAAUUGCAUACAGAAAUAUGCAAUUGCAUGAACAUUACAGCCAUCAAUGUCAGAUACCCACUUCACCUCACGCCACUUUCAGAAUCACAAACCCACCACAAUCAAAUCAUACACAAUCAGAGGCCUCAUGGGUAUUCAUAUAUACAAUCAGAUCAAGAGGCACUAUAACAACCCAGCAGAAAUGCACAGUGGGAAAAGAAAUACAAAAUUUGAAUAAUUAAUUUCUGGAAUUGUUCAAUGAAAAAACUGAAACAACAAUUCAAAAUCACUAGAAGAAUAAAUUAAAUAGAACCAUCAAUUACCCAUAACGAAAAUCAAGACACGAACUUACCGAGAUGGAGGAAGCAGCUGGAGAAGACGAAGUGGGUUUCUGGGUUUUGGUUGAAAUAUGCUCCUCAGAUGGAGAAGACGAAGUGGGGGGAGCUUCUUCAGGCUGUACGAAGCUGUGCAGCUGUGACUUCACCGAAAUAGAGCUGUGGCUGUGCAAAGCUAUGGAGGAGGAGAUAGACGAAAUCGAUCUGUGUGCAGCCUAGGUUUUGAACGCGCGGGAGCUUUUUUUUCCUUAUUUUCACUGGUUAACCAAAAGAACCAGUUUCACUUGUUUUUAAAAAAAGCCCACGUGACUAGCAUGUGAUGGGCUGUACAGGUACAGCCGGCGCACCACAGCCAAACUCUGGACUGACUCACACUAUUUAUGUUUAAGGGAAAAUUAAUAUAUAUUUAAUUAAUUAAAUAGGGGGCAUUAUUAGGUAACGUUAAAAUAAAAAAUUUUAAAAAAGGUUGGAGCUAUUUUCAUAAUUUUCAUGGUGUAUUUUGUUGAUUAGUUGUACAGCGGGACUGGAAGGGUUCCAGCCAGUAAAGCAUUUCCUGCGAGGCCUUUGCUUCUUCCUCCUCCUCCUCCUCCUUCUUCUUCCUUUGAUCUUAUCGCAGGCGACGGUUUCACAUCUCAUUCGCAGAUCUUCAAAUUGACCUUCACGCCUUGACUAUCUAAUGUUUAGUUCUUCAAACGCUUCAAAGGUAAAGUUGCCUUCCAGCUUUCGCCUUCAAUUUGUCUUCCCAAUUAAAUUCAGUCAAAACCCUUUUUUUUUUCGGCAGCCAAUUAAACGGAGAUGUUCACCCGUUCUCGAUUCCACUUUUAUUUUUCUUUUUUGAUGAAUUUAUUUUCAACGGUUGCAGGCAUUUCAAGCAAUUCAAAUAGAGUGUGAGGGUUAGGGUUUACGAAUUCCCCACCCUUCCCUCACUUUGAUGGAAUUCUUCGACUUCUAACAAGCGAAAUAUUGCGUAGAGAUAUUGAUAAACACUUCUGCUCAGGUUUUGAUCAUUGACUAGCUCAAAGGGGCUUGGUUUGAUUAGAGGUUUUCAAAAUGGCGGCAUCGGUCCCAAUCUACCUGAGCAUUGUCGCUUUUUUCUGCACUGUUGGAGCCAUAGCUUUGGCCAUUUCGCACAUCUACAGGCACCUCAUGAAUUACACAGAACCUACUUAUCAGAGAUACAUUGUCCGCAUUAUCUUUAUGGUCCCAGUGAGUAUUUAAUUCGAAGAAAACCCCACCUUGAAAUGUUAAUAAUUUGUAUCAUUUGGAUUUUAUCAUACCCAAAUUUUCUUAUCAGUUUCGUUGCAUAGCUUUUUAGAGCUGCGGUUACAUUAUUUCAUUCGACUUUUGUGUGAAGUCAACUGAAUGAAUUUCUGCUUUGUCAUUUACUGAGUUGUUGGCUUGUCAAUGUUAAUCAUGGAGUGAUGAUUAUCUUCUGGUGCUGUUUUCAAUUUCCUUGUGUUGUUUUCUCUUGAGGAUUGCUGCUUGCAUAUGCUAUGUAUAGAUUGUUUAUGCAUGAGCCUUUUAAGAAAAUUUCCAGCAAAUUGAAGGGAUAAAUGAACAAGACGAGGGUGUGUUGCAAUAGAGUGCUCCAGGACCUUGUAGUUCCUGUUGUUUCCACCACUUCCCCAUCAAAAAUUGAGGAGAACAGCAGUUUUCUGUGUUUUUUUUUUUUUUUUUUUUUUGGUUUCCUUUAUUGUCUUGGUUUUGAGAUAUUUUAGAGGUCACACCUGGAAAUGCUUGUUUCUGUUGAUUUUUUACUUAUGUAACCAAUGUGAACUUUAUUUUCCUUGACAGAUAUAUGCAUUGAUGUCUUUCUUAUCCCUUGUUUUACCUGGGAGCUCAAUCUACUUUAAUUCCAUCAGGGAAGUGUAAGUAUUUCUUUCAUUUGUAUGAAGCUCCCACUGUACAUGUAAUUACUAAUAAUAUGUUCCUUCUCUGCCCUUGUUUCCCUUGUUUAAAUAAGAAUGUAAAACGGGGAGAAAAUAAGGUGAGGAGUAUUUCACCAUUUUGCCCUUAACGUCUGGCUAUGAGGGUGACCUCUUGUGGAGAGGGUUUUGUGAACCCAAGGGCAAAUUUCCCCCUCCCAUUUGCUACUUCUCUCUCUCUCUAACCUGUUUAUUACAAGCUGGGGCUUAAGUAUCUGUUUCUCUGAAUAAAUGUAGGCAAUUACAAGCUGUAUCUUUUAUCCUCAUGCUAUUGCUAUUUUCUUUCUGUUUCAGUUAUGAAGCGUGGGUCAUUUAUAAUUUUCUGUCGCUGUGCUUGGCAUGGGUUGGUGGCCCAGGAUCCGUUGUCCUAAGUUUAAGUGGUAGGAUUCUAAAGCCUUCGUGGGUUCUGAUGACAUGUUGCCUCCCUCCCAUACCUCUUGAUGGGUGAGUUCACAAUCUAUGCUAAAUUUGCCAAUAUCUGCAAGCCAGGCAUUUCUGGUGCAAGAAAAAUCACAGAAUUCUAUUAUUAUGUGGGAUUUUUUUUUUCCCUCUAGUUAAAAUAUCUGUGUACUAUUUUUAAAUGUUAGCAAUGCUCCUGGUCUUUCAUGUAUUACUUGUAAAUACCCUUGUUUUUAUUUACACAUAUAAAAUCAAAAUCUCUACAUAAUAGGCAGAGCACUGCAUAUCUAAGGAGAUCUGUGGAAAAUAUGGAGGUUUCUUAUAUAACAAUAUGUCAUAAUGUUGUAUUUAUGAGAGGAUUGUUUGAUGAACUCAUACACUUAAAACUGUUAAUGCAGGCGCUUUAUACGUAGGUGCAAGCAAGGCUGUUUGCAGUUUGUUAUACUGAAGCCCAUAUUAGUUGCCGUUACACUCAUACUUUAUGCAAAAGGGAAAUAUGCAGAUGGAAAUUUCAGUCCAAAUCAGUCGUACCUGUAUCUCACUAUUAUCUAUACAAUCUCAUACACGAUGGCUCUUUAUGCUUUGGCAUUGUUUUAUGUGGCUUGCAGAGAUCUGCUUCAGCCAUUCAAUCCAGUUCCAAAGUUUAUUAUAAUCAAAUCUGUUGUUUUCCUCACUUAUUGGCAGGUAAACAUGUCUCACUUUAUUAGUGGCAAAAUUUUUAAAGAUGCAAACUUUGUUUGGUGUCUUGUGUGUUAGCAAAUUGUACUUAGUUGUGGGAUCGCAUGCUUAUGCAUUAAGAGCAAAAGAUGUAGAAUGUGUUUUUUUCCUGUUGAUAGGGAGGCCCAUAUUGCAAACUUAUUCAGUACGUUUCUGACUCUUAUUGUCUACCUUUUAGGGUGUGUUGGUUUUCCUUGCUGCCAAAUCUGGAUUAAUAAAGAAUGCAGAGGAUGCUGCUCAAUAUCAAAAUUUCAUAAUAUGUGUUGAGAUGCUAAUUGCUGCUGUUGGUCAUCUAUAUGCAUUUCCCUACAAGGAGUAUGCUGGUGCAAAUAUUGGCGAGCCUCGAGGUCUGACUGGAAGCCUUGCACAUGCCUUAAAAUUGAAUGACUUUUACCAUGAUACAGUCCACCAGGUGAGCCUUUCAAAUUGUUAUUUCUGCCAUGGCCUAGCAUAGAUGGUUAUCUUUCUCUUUUAACUGGGCUCAACCUUUCUGAUGAGUAUAUAUAACUGCGCAGUUUGCCCCUACCUAUCAUGAUUAUGUACUCUACAACCAUAGUGAGGGUGAUGAGGGAAAGAGGAAGUAUCGGUCACGCACCUUUGUGCCGACUGGCCCAGAGAUGGAUGCUGUCAGAAGGAACAAGCACAUGUUUGGGAACAAGAUAGAUGACAUACAGCUUUCCAGUCUCUCAUCUUCUAGUUCAAGCACUCCCAAUAACUCUGGCCCAGUCCCUGAUUCUGCAAAUUCAGAUGCAAUGAAGUCUUCCCUGCUUGUUGAUACCUCAAAUGCUUCAUCAGUGCCAUAUGACAUGUCACUUAUUGACUUGGACUUGACCAGCUACCCCGCAAAGGUUCCUUCAGCAAAUGGAGGUGGUACUAGGUGACAAGAACAGACUGUGGUAGGCAGUUAUGAAGAAUGUUCAUACCAGGAAAGAAGUAUUAAAAGGGUUAUGGGGUUUCGGUGAAGCUUCAUUUGCUUAAUUGUGUGGUGAUAUUGGUGUUGGUAUACUCCAUCUACCUCUCUUCAGUUUGAUGCUCUGUCAUCACAAACAUCAGGCUUCCCACUGAAAUUGUUUUCAAUGGCUUGUUAGUUCAGUGUGCAUUGUAGAUACAGAAAAUCUAAUUGUCAUACUUGCUAGAUCACAAUAGGAAACAUGAAAUUGAUUUUGUUUUUUUUUUUCCCUCCUUUUUAGGUUGCCCAAUGAAGAGUUCUGUUGCUUAUUGGAUUUCAUAGACUUGAUAUCGAAAUUUUUUUUCUGAGUUGGGCCUUGGUACAUGGUUCGUCUUGUUGUUCCUUUUCUUUUUUCUUGCCAAACAAUCAAGGAGAUGAGAGAGCAGUUUUUACUGUAGUUACCAAUAAUGAUUUUACCAGUUGCAUGGCAGUGCAAUCAAAGAUGUUUUGAUGUACUUCUAUUAUGUGAUGCUGUAGGUUUGACUAUCAUUUGUUAUUGAAAUGAUUGAUUGAGGUUCUGAUUCUUAUAUUUGAUUAGGCAAGGAUGAUGCAGACUGACAGUGCUAAAAUGCUAGUCUGGCAACCAUGACUAUCAGGUUUUUCGUCACGAACGAAAGCGAUAGUCUUCUGGAUAUGAUUGACUAUUAAUUUUUGUGUUUGCUGAAUUAGCUUAGAAUUUUGUUUAGUUUGCUGAGGAGGAGCAGAAAUUUCUUAAAGAGCCUUGGACGCUAAGUCCUCCCAUGACUCUUGGUGCAUCUGGUUUGAAACUUGAGAUGUUGUCAUGAGCACGGGAGUUGAAAGAGCGACUAUAUAAAUUGCAUGACCUACUUAUAAUUCAUAAAUAGUAAACUUGUAAAGGUAGAACAUGCAAAAUGUAUGGGUUGGUUAAGACUUACAUGCAUUGAUCUCUUCUAUAAUUGGUAUUGACCAACUUUUUAUUAACUACUGGGGAGUUAAUCUAUUCUCUCUAUUUGGUGUUGACCUUUUAUAAUAAUCGUUGGACAAUUUUCUCAUCUCACGCAAGUCACCCAGCAGCCUUGGCUUAUCUGUCUUACUCUGUUGCUGCUUCUUCAAACAACUCAAACCUAGUUUUAUAAUGGCAUUUUUUAAAGUAUUGAAGUUAGAACUCAACUUAGUUGGGGAUUAAUGCUCAAAUUGCAUAAACUAGUCCUAUCAUCUACAUAAACACUCCUAAUGAAGUGAAACCUAGCUAUGUAGAAUCCACUUGUUAGGCUAUUAUAGGGUUGUUUUCCUAAAAAAUAUAUAUAAUUAAGUGUAAUCGGUUGUAUAUAAUAAUGUAUUUAUUUCUCUCAUAAUUGUGUGUAAUUACAACGUGAUGAGAAAGAUAAACACAAUGUUGUAUAGAACUAGUGAGAGAAGUCUUUUCUCAUAUACCGAGUGCUGAUUAGAAUAACCUGAAAAGAUGAUCAAGUUGGUAAAAACAAAAAAGUUGAAGGAUGAUGGCAUCAUAGCAUCAUAGAACCUAACCAUCCCAUUUCUCUCAUGCAAUAGCAAGAGUGAAGGAAAGAAAGAAAGUCCAAGAAGAAAAAGGGAAAGCCAAAACACAAAAGGCACGUGACCGUCCAUCUAAAAAGACCAUGAGCAUAUCCGACUAACCACGUGUUAAAGUAAAAAAAUUACUAUAUAGGAUUGGAGAGAGACAGAGAGAGGGAUGCUAAUUUAGAAGAGAAGAAAAAGCAAUGAGGCAGCAAGCAAGCCAAGCAGUCCUGGCUAGCCAGCUCCUGUGGCGGCCCACUGCUCGCUUGCCCAACUUAUGACUUAACCAACACAGGUUCGUAGAAUUUAUACACUUCCAGACUCUCAAACCAACCAUCCCUUUAUAUUUCUCUUUAAACACCCCACCCUCCUCUUCAACCUCCAUCUCAUAACUCCUCUCACACACCCAAAAGAAAAGACAACUAAGUCCUCUCUCUCUGUGUUUCUGUCUCUGUCUCUCUGUUUUCUCUGUUUCUCCCUCUGGCUAAGUUCUUCAAUGGCCGGCCUGUGGGGACAGAGCAUUCACCAUGUGGGCCCAAACCCAUCAAUCAGUAGAAGUAACUCAUUGAAUAGCAGCAGCAGCGGCAGUGGGUGCUAUUACAACAGCUACAUGGAGCUGAGCAGCAACAACUACACGAUGAUGGAGAAGAGGCAGCUUUUUCUUAGAAGCUAUCAGUUCAGCAGGAAGAAGAGCCUGACAGAGAGGAUCAAAGGGUCUUUUUGCAAAGCCAAGAAGGUCAUAUGGCUGAGGCUGCGUUCAGCUCGGAAGCUUAGGAAGUUGGUCUGCUUUAGACUCAGAUAUGGACUUGCCUACCGGAGAAGAAGACUCUGCCGUCUCCUGAACAAUUACCACCAUACCCGCAAAUGCAAUAACUCCUACUGUUUCUGGUAGAAGAAGUACUGGUACUCUUGUAAUUUCUUUUUUUUUUUCCUUUUUUUUCCUUUUUUUGGUUUUCUUUAUUUUAGAAGAAAAAAGUGCCAAAAUUUGGUGUUGUUCCCACGAGGUAACCAGUUAUAUACAUGAUGAUUUCCAUUCUAUUUAUUUGGUGAUGCUAGUUGUUAAUGUCAUGCUCUUUUUUAUUUCUAUUUUAAGGGUGGGGGUAGGAGGAAUUUAGAAAAAUGGUUAGUUUUUUUAGUAAUUUUGGGUAAUUUAUAUAUAAUUGGUGUGAGAAUCCCAAAAUAAUAAAAUCUUAGUUUAUGUAUGAUGAGAUUGAGAAUCUCAAAGUAGAAUGGAAUGGAUACCAUCUUCUAAGGGUUUGGUUUCUGGGUUACACAAAGUUUGAGGUCCAUUUUUGGCUUGGAAUAAGGCAGCUGUUGGCCUUAGCAAAGAGGCAAAUGGGAACAAAAAUUUGUGCAACUCAAUCAAGUUGAAAGUUUGAACUCUCAAGGGAGGGCAAAACCCAAAAAGGUCAAGCAGCAGCUCAAGGAUCCAAGUUUGAAUGAAAGAUGAAGCAAAAAAGUCAUUGUUGGGGAACUGUGACUUUUGCACCUUGCAUUGCAUGCUGCUCCUUAGACUGUUUAAAGUCCUGUUGAAAUUGAUCACAAAGGCAAUAGCUUUUACCCUUCAUAUUCUGUUUACACUUUGCCCCUUUGUCUUUUGCUUUUUUGGUGAAAACCCUUUUUUCCUAGUGAUCCACUGGUAUUGCCAUCUCCACUGUUGCUUGCUACACAUUCAGAUUAUUAGGGCAAAGUGAGGUUGAGGUUGAUUGGUAUUUCCGUCACUAAUUUUAUGCAGGAUAAAUUAACAAGAGCCAACCAGACUAUGUGACUCAGCUUUAAGUGUUCUAUAAGCUAGACUGCUUAUCUUAUUAAAUUCCAGCUCAUCUGAGUUAACCCUUUUUCUUAAUCAUGAUAUUCUUGACAAAAAAGUGUUCUACUGCCAAGAUUACGCAUAAAGAUCUAAUCUUUUUAGUACAUUUUUUAUUACUGGCAGAAGAAAGUGGCAUGGUUGAGCAUGCUCUGCACUUUAUAUAAAUAUAUUAUCACGGCAUGGCUUCAUUGCAAAUCAACGUCAGAUAUUGGUGGAAUAUAUGAAUUAAUAAAAUGAAUGGGCUAGAUUAAUCAAUAUUUUUCUACAUUCCGCAGCAGCAUGACAGAUGCAUAAAAGGGUUUUUUUCUACGAAGUGCUCAUCUUUCAUCUUUAUGGGUUGGCUGGGUUUGCAGAAUCUUUCAUUUCAGAUGCUGAUAAAGACAGAUCCCAUUAACAAGUUGAGUUAGGAUGCAAUUUUUAGGAGGGAUAUAAUUAUUUUUGAGAAAAGGAGAUAAAAAAAAUUAAUGGAAUUAAUACAACAUUGUUUUCAUGGACAAGACAACUCAUCAUCAAGAUGAAUGUGCUCAGUUGACAAUUCACUCAGUGGAAAAAAGAAAAAAACUUGCGUAAGAGGGCUACUUUAAUCUACUAAUCUAACUUAAUAUUUUUUUUAAUUAGUUAUUUAUAUAAUUGUCUAAGAAUUACGGAAAAAAGUUUAUCGCUUUCUUGUACGUGUUCGCUCAUCAUCAGGAAAAAUAGGGUUUCUUAGAACAUAUAGAACAUAUAUUAAUCUUUGGAGACGAAGUCAACCAGAUUUAUAAAGUGACUGCAUGGCAACGGUAACAUACUUGCUAAGCAAAAUGAGAUGUGGAAAGCUCUUUAUAUAUUCGUUUGACUCUAAAUAGAUCUGACAAGAAGGUUCUGCAGACUGCAACAGGAAGCUUAAUUAUCUAGCUGGAUAAUGUAGACAGAAGCAAAGUCAUAAUUUUUAAGAUGGCAUGAGCCAUGAUGAGGCACCUACAUUUCCUUCUUCCAGCAGUACUAAUAUUCCUCUAGUUAUGUUCCCAAUAUUAAUUCAUAGGGGAGGAUAUUUAACUUGUCAAUUAAUCUUGAGGGUAGAGACAGAUGUGUUUCCUUAAUCUCUGCAACAACAACAAAAAAAAAAAAUAUAUAUAUAUAUAUAUAUAUAAAAAUUAACAAUUGGGUUUUUCUGACUGAAAAUAUAUAUAUAUAUAUAUAAAUUAACAAUUGGGUUUGGCUCCAGAGUAUAUGCCAUAAGGUUGAAGAUUACAAUACGAGCUUAUUUAGCCUAUCAACAUAUAUCAACAAGCGCAUAAUUUAGUGAUAUUUUUCUUCUUAAUAUUAAAAGAGAUUCUAAGUCGAAUUCCCUUUUUCGUACAACCUUAAAGCUAAAACAUGAUAGAAAGCUUUCAAUUUUGGAUGAAGACAGUUUAGGUUUGGCAGUUGACGGCAUGAUAUGAGAGAGACCAGAAGUCAGUUAACAAUUGGUAUCAUGAGAGACACCAAGUGGCUAAUUGUUUGGUAUGCUAAACUUUACAGAACUAAUAGUUGAGAGGGAGGGUUUUUUUAUGCAUCCUGAUUAGACGGUGACACAUAACUCUUUUUUUUAUUUUAUUUAUAAAUUGUUUAGGACUUUUUUUUAUUGAGAAUAGCGUACUAAAUUCACACACACUACACAAAUACUAGACUUAAAUCCAGAAUCUUGUCUAAAAAAGUAAAAUAUUCUAAACCAUUAUACUAGUGGGUCCUUUGCGGUGAGACAAAACUUAAUACCUUUCCAUUAGUGCUCUAUUUCUAGGCCUUCUUUUGGACUAUAUUUUGAAAAUUUCAGAUAAUUUAGUUCUUGGGCUUCUUCCCUUCAAUUAGGUCAACUACUGUGGCCUUUCAAAUUUGAUCCCACAGAACUGAUGAAGGCCCAACCAAUAUGGUGCAGCUUUUCUUAGUCAGACCAAAAUAGGGUGCACAAAAAACCAACAUGACACCUUAAUUAAACAAUUGCCAAUGCCCAACCACUAUUUUCUUCAAUGAAGGACAAAUUAGACCAACAGAUCAUAAUCUUGACUUGAUUAUGGACUCAUUAGUAUCAGAUUAAUAAAGAAUCAAGUAAAUCAUCUUUUGGCUAAAGAUCACAACUGCAAACUUCACUUUCUUUAGCAAAUGAUUGGCUCUGAUUUUCAACCCUAACAUGGACAUCAAUCAUUGCACAUGCCUGUAAUAUUCCUCUAAUCAUAUAACAAUUCCUCCAUCUCAUUUUAAUAAACUCAAGAGAGCAAGAGAGCAGCUUACAAUCACAGAGGUGGUUAUGUAUGUGGUGGUAGCCAUGUGUUAAAAAGCAGAUAUACAAGGCAUUAUAUCAAUGUAUCUAUCUCUCUUUCUCAGUGCAGAGUAUAUUGGGCUAAAAUAUGAAGGCAGCCAUGUGUCAUAGGGAAUCUUAAAGUUACAAUGUAAGUAAUAUCAGUCUCUUUCUGUUACUAUUAGGUGUUUGAAUGAACAUUAAAACCAGAAUCUUCAUACAUUGCCCUCCAUUUAGCCCCCACUAGUUCUUCCCCUUUAUAUAUUUGUAACACACAGCAAUACCAAAAGUCCUACAAUCUCACCUCCUUUCUGCUUCUCCUAUCUUCUUGGUCCUCAGUGCAGCAGAUGGGUUUCCAGGACAUUGUUGGGGGAAGGUUGGGAUGUCAAUAUGAGAAGCUAACCAAAAGGAAUGAAAAGGUGGGAAGGCCUGGAAGGCAUUGGGUGAAGAAAAUGAAUGGAAGACUGAAGGGUCUGCGGUUAUCGCGCUCCCGGAAGCUUACUUUGAAGAUUUUUUCUGCAGUUGUAUGGCAUAGCAGGUUUGCAAGGAUAUGCAGUGACAUUGUGAACAGAAUGAAAGCUGAUGGAGCAUAUCCCAGUAUUAUCUUCUCUACUCAAUGGGGGCUUCCAGUUCUGUCUCAUUCAUCUGUCAGGGGCUGCAGCAUCAAAUGCAGUCCCAAUAUUGUACCACCAAUUAGGAACUGUAUCAAAUAGCAUGAUACUUUGAUUGUUAUUGUACAUUUCUCUGUCUCAAAUCAUAUAAUUGCUUUUCUUAUUUGCUUUCACUCAGAACUAGUUUUUAUGGUCCAAUUAAGUAGACAGAAUUUACAGUUCAUGAAGCAAAUGGAGUAUAUUGAAUAGUUGUCCUACAAAUGACUCCAUUAGAUUCUCAUAAUUUAUCCAUUCACCAUUUUAAUAUAAGGGAAACAGAUAUGGAGGAAUUUUUAUAUACUUAGUGGACUAGACAUGGUAAUUCUAAUUGAUCAAUUACUGUGAAGGAAUUAGUUAAGAUUUGCUACAGCUGAGAUUAUUAUUUUCCGGCAUAGAGAAUCCAAGAAGAUAAUUCAUACGGCCGACCAUAAGGUUGGGGUAAAGGCAAGGACGAUGAUGAUGAUAAUGAUAUUCAAGCCAACACAUAUUUGCAUAAGAAUUACACAAUUUUUAAAAAAAAAUAGAAAGAAAAAAGAAAGGUGCCAAUAUGACAAUUAAAUGUAAAGGCAAGGUGGCAUUUGAUUAUGACAGGAACAGACUAUACACAAUGUUAAAGAAGUUGAACACAGGCAAGGCAACCAAUUGGCCGGGCCCCUUAUGUGAUCCCUUCCUUGUAGUUAUUACAAGCAAACGUUUAGGUGGUUUUCCUGAUGGAGAUAGCCUAAUGCACAACAAAAUCAGCAUUUCCCUACCAAAGCUACCUUUUAGAUGCAAAGCCAGUCAUGAAUAGCAAAUAAGAGUCUUUGAGGCUGAAGUUUGGCAUGAGAAAGUGCCUUCUAAUGUCCUUUGAUCCCAUCUUCUGUCCCUUCUUUGCCAAGCGCCAUAGUCUUGGUGGCGGUGUAAGGCUUUCCUCACAUGUCUCUGGCUCCUCCUUGAUAGUUGCUAGCUUACUCUUGAGUAUUUCCUCUAUGUCUUUCCAGGAGUCAGUCCGGAAAUUCUUUCUGCUCAUGCAAGGCACCACCCGCCACAUUUUUCGGUAUGCCCUCCUCAUCUGCUUUCAAGUCGAGUUCUUCUCGGACAAACUAGGUCUUUAGCAGAAAGUGGUCAUGAUCACACUAGUAAUGCUCUUCUCCUUGCCUAUAUAUAUAUAUAUAUAUAUAAAGAGAGAGAGAGAGAGAGAGAGAGAGAGAGAGAGAGAGAAGAGGAAAGGUUGAGGAAAGUGGGUUAGGGUUGUAUUAGUUGGCUAGAAAAUGGAAAGAGGAGGGACCAAAAGCCACAACCUUUGCUCCUUUACAGCGAUGGUUCAACCAUAAUGAUCAGCUUUUGUUCGUUAACCUUUAUAAAACCAACCAAACCUUUAUUCUAUUGAAUACAUCAUGAAAUCCGUUUUCUAGUUUUGAAGUUGUAUGCAUAUCUUGAACAAGGAAAGACAUGUCUGCUACAAAUUUCAUGGAUGACACUCUGUUCCUGGAAAGCUAAUGCCUUAUGUCUACAAAAGUCAUCUGCAGAAUUAUGAAACUGAAACACAAAGAACCAGAUGUGACCCCUUGGAAAUAAUAGUGAUAAAGACUUGAGGAAAGCAAAUCAUGGUGGUAGGGAACACAUUGGUGAUCAGCAAGUUCAAAACCAUAUCAUUUGAUUCCAUUCCAAAUUGUUUAUUAGAAGAGAUUUCAGAAACCACACAAAAAAUUUAUGCCAAUCUUCCAGCCUGAUAAUACAUCAUGUUAUUGAGGACAUACAAAAUCAAAGCACUGAUUUAAUUUGUCCAACUGUCAUACCUUACCAAACCUUUACUUUAUACCAGAAAAUCUUGCAAUUUACUUACAUGUGCCAAACUCGUCAUUAUUUCUGUUCUUCUUGCUUCUUUUUGAAGUGAACUACUUUGCUAACAUGUGAAUGCUAAAAUAUGAAAACUAUGAGAGAAUAUUUGUUUGUGGGAAUUUUCUGUGUAUUCUUCUCCUUGUAGGAGGUCAUAUUUAUAAUACAACGAAACCUAAAUAGGCAAGUAAAUAAUAAAUUCCUAAAUCUAUUUGCAGUAGGAAAUCAGAAAUUAAAGUAAAUCAAUUACAAUUAUAAUAGGAAUUCUUGGUGUGUAAGGAAAGUAAGUCAAUAUCCACAAGUCACGCCAACACUCCCCCUCAGUUGGUGCAUAGAUGUCGCCAAUGCCCAACUGAUCUAGUGAAUUGUGGAAUGCUUUACUGGAAAUCGCCUUUGUCAAAAUAUCCGCCAAUUGAUCCUCGGAUUUCACAAAAUGCGCAAUCUGGUCCAUAUGUCGGGGUCGUUAGUCGAGAAGUCAUAAUCUGUGCAGCGGAAGAUGCAUAGGAUACAGUUGAGUAGGAAUUGGGAUCGGAAUAUAAGCCUGAGUCGAGGCCGGAGUCAGAGUUGAAAUCGGGAUCAGGGUCUGAAUCAGAGCCAAAUUCGAGGUUGGGGUCAUCAUCGGAGUGGGGGUCGGGGUCGUCUACGGAGUCGGGGUCGGGGUCGGGGUCGUCUUCGGAGUCGGGGUCGGGGUCGGGGUCGUCUUCGGAGUCGGGGUCGGGGUCGUCGUCGUCAUAGUCGGGGUCGGGGUCUGGGUGGUCGUCAUCAUAGUCGGGGUCGGGGUCGGGGUCGUCAAAAGAGGAUCCUGAUUCUGGAUCGGGUUCGGGGUCAAAGUCUGCAUCUGUAGGAGCGGAGCCAUCUGGGCAUUCAACUCAACGAUGGUUGGUGGAGAAUGAGAGAAUGAGUCGAUGGUGCUACCUCCAUGAGGGUUGAAAAAAUCAUCAACCCCCAUAACACUAAAUAAAAUAAUCUCUAUUACAAUAGGACAAAAUAUAAUUGGUAAGUAACCAAAAUUCUAAUGAAAUAAGGAACCAAAAUUCUAACUAAAUAAGGACUCGCCAACACUUCCCCUCAAGUUGGGCAAAGAUAUUUCGCACGCUCAACUUGACAAGCGAGUCACAGAACACCAUACUUGAGAAGUAACAAUUGUAGAGAAGAUCUUUUAGUCAACCACGAGUGAAACAAGUGACAAACUAAAACAAAGUUCACAGCGGAAACACAAGAGCAAACCCUAAAAAAUAGGGCACAUAGCAAAACACAGAAAUCCUGUGAGCACGGCUGUAGAUAAGGCAGAACACAGAAACCCUGUGAGCACGGCAGUAGGUAAGGCAGAACACAGAAACUGUGUGAGCACAGCAAUUGGUAAGGCAGAACACAAAAAUCCUGUGAGCACGGCAAUAGGUAAGGCAGAACACCGAAACCCCAUGAGCACGGCAGUAGAGACAAUGGCAACAAUAAAUUCUUCCAUAUAAACUUUAGCUAAUUCACUCAUACACAACUUCUCUUCAAUCCUCCUCUCCCUUUGAAGAGAAGGGGUCGUCGGAGUAAAGAAAUAAGCAACAUCUUCAUGGAAAUAUGUCAAGGUAAUUGGGAUAGGUCAAUAAACAUAUCCCUUUCACUCCCCCUCCCCCCUCUCAAGGGGGGAGAAGAACACUUAAAUUUCAAGAAGAACACAAGCACAGGUCCCUAGAUCGAACCUGGCUCUGAUACCAUGCUAAAAUAUGAAAACUAUGAGAGAAUAUUUGUUUGUGGGAAUUUUCUGUGUAUUCUUCUCCUUGUAGGAGGUCAUAUUUAUAAUACAACGAAACCUAAAUAGGCAAGUAAAUAAUAAAUUCCUAAAUCUAUUUGCAGUAGGAAAUCAGAAAUUAAAGUAAAUCAAUUACAAUUAUAAUAGGAAUUCUUGGUGUGUAAGGAAAGUAAGUCAAUAUCCACAAGUCACGCCAACAGUGAAUCUACUAGACCACCACUGCAUA
rnacentral:lncRNA from 1 species